rnacentral:lncRNA from 1 species
AUAUAUAUAUAUAUAUAUAUAUAUAUAUAUAUAUAUAUUUUUAUAUAUUUUUUUUUUUUUUUUUUUUUUUUUUUUUUUUUUUUUUUUUUUUUUUUUUUUUUUUUUUUUUUUUUUUUUUUUUUUUUUUUUUUUUUNNNNNNNNNNNNNNNNNNNNNNNNNNNNUAUUUACAUAUUUGAUAAUGAAACAAAAUCAAAAACUAUUUAUGCCCCUCUCCUCAUUCACACCCCCUCCCCCCCCUCCCCGACUGAAAACCCACCCAAAAGAAAAAAUCAAAAUCAAGUAUUUUCUACUCUUUUUAAAUUUAACUUCCAAUAUUUCUAAUCUUUUAAAUUCAAAUGCUAUCAAAAAAUUAUUAAAAGAAGAUAAAUUUAUUAUUCUCUUUAUUCUUAUUUUUCUUAAAAAUAUGUUUAUUUAUAUUAUAAUUUAUAUAAUUAAAUUGAGAUAAAUAUUUAAGAAAAGUGAUGAUGAUAAUAAUAAAAUAGUAGUAGUAAUAGUAGUAGUCAUUAUUUUUCUACUGUUAUUACUAUCACUGCUACUACUAAAACUAUCACUACUCUAGCAUAUUUUUUUAAUUAACUUAUUUUUAGGCUACACUUUAUAAGUAAUUAAGUCUUCUUAUCUUAUAUUUCAAGAUAUAAAAUAUUGAAUUUAAAUUUAAGUUAAUUAAUUUUUAUAUUAUAAUGCUCAUGUGACUUGUUGUUUAUCGAAAUUUUAGUUGUGUGAUUUUAAAAAAUAUACGUGACAAAUAAAAUUAGUAAAUAUUUUUAUAUAUAAAUAUAAAUUUUCAAGUAAACUCAUGAAAAGAAUAAAUCAAAUGUAAUAUUUAAAUGCAUAUAAAUUUUUUUAUAACCUUCUUAAAAUAGAGUAGAUAUGUAAAUGUGAUAGAGAAAUAUAUUAUAUUUGAACACAUAAAAAUAUUUACAUUCAUUCUUUACACAAAUAGUCUGAUAAAUUUUCUCUGUAUAUUUCAACUCUCAAUUGUACUUGUUGAUUUCUCAAAUAUUCAUUUUGCAUUUUGAAGAGAUUUACAUGCAUAAGAUUUGUAAAAAUUUCAGCUUCCUUGGAUACUCUGUGACAAAAGAUAAAUAUAGUGUUAAUCACAAAAAUAAGUAAAGUUACUAUAAAAUUAAGUCAAGUAUGAUAGCAUACCUUUCUAAUCUAUUCAGAGAAAUCUGAUGAGCAUUACCUAUAAGUUUUUUUUAAUCCAUGGUAGGUAGAUUUGUUUCAAAAAAUAAAAUGUUAAUCAUAAAUAACUAUAAAAUAAUUCAAAACUAAAUUAACCGUGAACAAUAUAUAUUGAUAAUUAAUCAAACAACUAUGAUGAGCAUUACCUGUAAUCUUUUAACCAUGGUAGAUAUAUCUGUGACAAAAAUAAGAUAUAAUGUGAAUCAUAAAUAACAAUAAAAUAAUUUAAAAGCUAAGUUAAACAUCAACAUACUUUGAUAGUUAUUCAAUGAUAAUUUUAACAACAAUAAUGAAAAUAAUCUUGUGAAUAAAAUGAUUAUAUAAAUUUUUUCGAAAUAAAUUCAAUCUAAAUAUGAAAAUGAUUAUAUCUGACAAAAAAAAAAAAAAAGCUUAAAUGAUACUAUAUGCAUUGAAGGGGAUAUAUAUAGGAGGUUACAGAUAUAGAUAUUUAUGUCAACUAAAAUUUCAGUCAAAUUCAAAAUUUAAAUAUAUCAUUUAUCAAUUUGUUAGAAAAGAUAAGAUUCUGACUUAUCAUUAUCUAAUAGUUUAGAAUUUUAAAAUUUUAAAAAUAGAAAAUCAUCUGAGAAGUUACAUUCAAACUUGAAAAAUACAUAGUUAGCAUUUUAUUAGGAACUCAAACUCAUUUAAUUGAUUUAAACAAAAAAAAAAGACACUUGCUCAAACUUGUUCUUAUAUUUAAUUAUUUAUUUUAAAAAUUCUUAAUAGUGCUUCUACAGUGUUUUAACGUAUUUUUAAUAAUAUUUUAAUUAUUAUUAUUAUUGUUGUUGUUGUUGUUGUCGUUGUUGUCAUUGCUUUUGUUGUUGUCGUCGUCGUUACGACAAUAAAAUGAAAGAUACAAAAUUAAAAAAAAAUACACUCACUUAACCUUUUUCUUUAUACUAAUGUUAGAGGCAUGUGCUAUUUGGGGUUAAUGUUGUAUUCUAUAUUAUAUUUGGUGUUUAUUUUAGAAAUCUGAACUGUUACAGUUUAAGUAGAUUUUAAUUCAUCUAUAACAUACUGCAACAUACAGCUUUUAGACUUCUUUCAUAAUGGUUACAAAAUAGAUUGAAACCUUAUUUUAAAAGAGAUAAGUUUGAAAUAGUAAAAGUCUAUUAGAACUCUUUAAGCAUGGGCUUCUAUUUUUAAUAUAAUAUUUUUUUUAAAAGAAGAAAAAUAUAUUUCAAAUUCAAUUUUAGAGCUUAUUUAGGACUCCUUUUUUCCCUAUUUUAUUUUUAAAUUCAAAUUUUUAAUAUUCUUUAUUACAAUACUUAAUACUUUUGUCCUUAGAAUUUUCACGUGGCUUAACAAUAGCUUGCCUCGUGGCUUUCACUUGUGCUUCGUCCUUUGCUUUAUAAUAUAUAUAGAAGAUUCUUAUUAUUGUUAUUGUUAUAAAUGUAUUUACAUUAUAAUGAAUGUCUAUCAAGAUUUAGUUGAUAUCUAUCAAGAUUUGAAGUGUCUGUCUUUUAGUAAGACAUUGGGAGUAAAUUUUUCCUAUAAAUAAAAGAACUUUCUUCAUUAUAAAUCACUCCUCAACACUCCUCACGAGAAAUAAAGAAGUCUCCUUACUUCUCUCUCUAUUCUUCUUGUUCUUAUUUUAUAUUUUAUAACACGUUAUCAGCACAGCACGAGUUUCUUCCUUUGAGUUUAUAUUUAUGCCGAUGUUAAGGUAAGUGGCGUAAAACACUAAUAGGCUCACUAUUUUUUUUUGACAAUUUGAUCGCACAUACCCCUAUGUUUCUUUUAAAUUGCACCGCUUUUGUUCAUGUAUGAUGAUUUAUAGCAAUUACUGCCUUCAAGACGUUACAGAAGGUUACUUUAUAGGAUUGUUUUUGUUUUUGUCUGUCUUUGUCUUUGCUGGCUGAGACAUGAUAAAUUACGUAGUGAUGGUGGCAUAGAAAAAUGUUUUAUGUGUUUGUUAUAUGUGACAAUUUUAUAACCAAUUGCUACCACGUCAAAAUGAGACUCUGUCAAACAAAGUGAGACUAUAAAUCUAAAGGAUUUCAAGGUUAGUAAUUCCUUAUGUUAUUUGGCUUUUGCUACUAAUGAUAUAAUUACUGUUAGAUUUAAGGAAAAAUAGUUAAUUUGGAACCAAUUAUGCUUUAAAUUUGUUCAUAAAGAAUAAUAUUGUUAAAAGAUAUGAGGGUAAGACAUUGGGUUAAAAGUUUUAAUGUACCAUGAUGAUAAGAUGUUGGGUUCAAGUCCCAUCGAUUUAUGCCUAAGACGUCUUUAUAUGGAUAAGACGUUGAGUUUGAAUCUCAAUGCAUCAUAUUUGAUGAUAUAAUGAUGGUUAAGAAAAAAUAAUGUGUUUUAAUGAAAAGUCAUGAAACUUGUCUAUUGAAUAUGCUUCAUUUCAUGAAGUGAAUGCGGUAACAAUAUAUGAUAAGUUUGAAAGAUAACAAUUUGCUCCAUUCCAUGAAGUGAAUAUGGUAGCGUUAUAUGAUAAGUCUGAAAGAUGACAAUUUGCUCCAUUCCAUGACGUGAAUGUGGUAGCAAUAUAUGAUUAGUUUGAAAGAUGACAAUUUGCUCCAUUCUUGAAGUGAAUGUGGUAGCAAUAUACGAAUAUACUCUGAAAGAUAUGUAUGCCUCGAUGUGCUCGUGAAGUAACAAUAUCAUGAAAGAGGUUAUAAGCUAUCAGAAUUUGAUAGGCUUAAGGCACGAUUAUAUUCCAUUCUUGGAGAAUGAAAAGCUUAUUAAUGCAAAUGUGCACUUGAUUGUGAUGGUAUCACAACUCACCUCCGAAAGAGGCAGAAUAACCGAAAAAAAUUAUUUUAAAAUCUACUUCUAAAGUAGUAAAUCUAAACUUUAUUCAUGUAAUAGUAAAUCUGAAAUUUACUAAAGUAAAAUGUACAUGUCAUGGUAAACUUGGAGUUUGCUAAUAAUAAAAGUUCAUAAAUAGAUAUGAACGAUUGCGACAUCCCAUAGAUGUGCAUACUAAGUAAUGAACAUAUAUUGAAGAAUUAGAAAAUUCUUUAUGAACCCAACUAAUGUUGGGAUUUGAUCCCUCAAAAUCUGAAAAGUAUAAAAAGUGAAUAUGGGUCCGUUCACUUUUCAUGUGAUCUAUUAAGAUGCAUCAAUAAGAUGAUCACAUGUAAAUUUAUAGUCAACCUACAGUUUGACGUUCAUUUCUCAACAAAAUUGAGUUAAGAGCAUAACUUUCAGAUUAUGUAAUUCAGACAAUUCAUCUUGAUGAUGAUGGUUUAACAUUGAAUGCCUUCGAUAAAUAGUUAAACCAUUGCUAAUGAGACCAAAGAUUCAUUUGUUAGUCUGAAAUAUGAUAUGCUGCAUACAAUAGCACUUGCAUGCAUUAGACUAAUAAAUUUUGAUUAUUUCUUUCUUAUCAAUUGGUUCAAGAUCAGGAACCAACUAUUCCAUCUAAUAAUUUUGAUGUGCGGUAUAUGAUUAAUGAAUAUACCAUGAUACAAAAAGAUGGAUUCAUCAAAGAAGAUGGAGGAUGAAUGUUAAUUUUCCUAACAUGAGAGGGAUAUUAUAAGCAUCUAAGAAAUAUAUAAGGAAUUAUCAUCAUUUAUAAGUUAUGGAAUUUAAAUUUUAAAAGAGAUAAGUUUGAAAUAGUAAAAGUCUAUUAGAACUCUUUAAGCAUGGGCUUCUAUUUUUAAUAUAAUAUUUUUUUUAAAAGAAGAAAAAUAUAUUUCAAAUUCAAUUUUAGAGCUUAUUUAGGACUCCUUUUUUCCCUAUUUUAUUUUUAAAUUCAAAUUUUUAAUAUUCUUUAUUACAAUACUUAAUACUUUUGUCCUUAGAAUUUUCACGUGGCUUAACAAUAGCUUGCCUCGUGGCUUUCACUUGUGCUUCGUCCUUUGCUUUAUAAUAUAUAUAGAAGAUUCUUAUUAUUGUUAUUGUUAUAAAUGUAUUUACAUUAUAAUGAAUGUCUAUCAAGAUUUAGUUGAUAUCUAUCAAGAUUUGAAGUGUCUGUCUUUUAGUAAGACAUUGGGAGUAAAUUUUUCCUAUAAAUAAAAGAACUUUCUUCAUUAUAAAUCACUCCUCAACACUCCUCACGAGAAAUAAAGAAGUCUCCUUACUUCUCUCUCUAUUCUUCUUGUUCUUAUUUUAUAUUUUAUAACACGUUAUCAGCACGAGGUUCUUCCUUUGAGUUUAUAUUUAUGCCGAUGUUAAGGUAAGUGGCGUAAAACACUAAUAGGCUCACUAUUUUUUUUUGACAAUUUGAUCGCACAUACCCCUAUGUUUCUUUUAAAUUGCACCGCUUUUGUUCAUGUAUGAUGAUUUAUAGCAAUUACUGCCUUCAAGACGUUACAGAAGGUUACUUUAUAGGAUUGUUUUUGUUUUUGUCUGUCUUUGUCUUUGCUGGCUGAGACAUGAUAAAUUACGUAGUGAUGGUGGCAUAGAAAAAUGUUUUAUGUGUUUGUUAUAUGUGACAAUUUUAUAACCAAUUGCUACCACGUCAAAAUGAGACUCUGUCAAACAAAGUGAGACUAUAAAUCUAAAGGAUUUCAAGGUUAGUAAUUCCUUAUGUUAUUUGGCUUUUGCUACUAAUGAUAUAAUUACUGUUAGAUUUAAGGAAAAAUAGUUAAUUUGGAACCAAUUAUGCUUUAAAUUUGUUCAUAAAGAAUAAUAUUGUUAAAAGAUAUGAGGGUAAGACAUUGGGUUAAAAGUUUUAAUGUACCAUGAUGAUAAGAUGUUGGGUUCAAGUCCCAUCGAUUUAUGCCUAAGACGUCUUUAUAUGGAUAAGACGUUGAGUUUGAAUCUCAAUGCAUCAUAUUUGAUGAUAUAAUGAUGGUUAAGAAAAAAUAAUGUGUUUUAAUGAAAAGUCAUGAAACUUGUCUAUUGAAUAUGCUUCAUUUCAUGAAGUGAAUGCGGUAACAAUAUAUGAUAAGUUUGAAAGAUAACAAUUUGCUCCAUUCCAUGAAGUGAAUAUGGUAGCGUUAUAUGAUAAGUCUGAAAGAUGACAAUUUGCUCCAUUCCAUGACGUGAAUGUGGUAGCAAUAUAUGAUUAGUUUGAAAGAUGACAAUUUGCUCCAUUCUUGAAGUGAAUGUGGUAGCAAUAUACGAAUAUACUCUGAAAGAUAUGUAUGCCUCGAUGUGCUCGUGAAGUAACAAUAUCAUGAAAGAGGUUAUAAGCUAUCAGAAUUUGAUAGGCUUAAGGCACGAUUAUAUUCCAUUCUUGGAGAAUGAAAAGCUUAUUAAUGCAAAUGUGCACUUGAUUGUGAUGGUAUCACAACUCACCUCCGAAAGAGGCAGAAUAACCGAAAAAAAUUAUUUUAAAAUCUACUUCUAAAGUAGUAAAUCUAAACUUUAUUCAUGUAAUAGUAAAUCUGAAAUUUACUAAAGUAAAAUGUACAUGUCAUGGUAAACUUGGAGUUUGCUAAUAAUAAAAAUUUAUAAAUUGACAUGAACGAUUAGGACAUCCCAUAGAUGUGCAUACUGAGUAUUGAACAUAUAUUGAAGAAUUAAAAAAAAAAAUCUUCAUUACUUUUAAUGUUGCUUGUUCUCAUGAUAAAUUGGUUGGACCAAUUAAUUUUGAAAUUGGAUCCCUUAAAAUCUGAAAAAUAUAAAAAGUGAAUAUGGGCCCGUUCACAUGUCAUGUGAUCUAUUAAGAUGCAUCGGUAUAAGAUGAUCACAUGUGUAUUUAUUGUCAACCUACAGUUUGACAUUCAUAAAAUUGCUUGCUCAACAAAAUUGAGUUAAGAUCAUAAAUUUUAGAUUGUAUAAUCAAGACAAUUCAUCUUGAUGAUGAUGGUUUGACAUUGAAUGCCUUCGAUAAAUAGUUGAACCAUUGCUAAUGAGAAUAAAGUUUCAUGUGUUGGUUUGAAAUAUGAUAUAUUAUAUACAAAGGUACUCGUAUACAUCAAACCAAUUAAUUAUGAUUAAUCUUCCCUCAAAGUGGGUUCUGAGUCAGGAAUCACACAUUAUCCAUCUAAUGGUUUUGAUAUGUGGUAUACAGUUAAUGAAUAUACCAUGAUGCACAAAGAUGGAUUCCUCAAAGAAGAUGGAGGAUGUAUGUUAGUUUUCCUAACAUAAGGGGGAGAUUUGAAGCAGCUAUGAAAUAUGUUAGGAAUUAUCAUAGAUCCUCAUUCAAAAGAUAAUUCAAGUCAAAUGCCCGAAAACAUCUGUUUGACUCAAAUUUAAUCUUAUAUUUAAGUUGUAAGUGCUCUUAUUUUGUAUUCCUAAAGGACAAAAUCUAUGCAUGCGUGAAGCAUGAUAGACCAGUCGGUUCCAAAUGAAAUGAUCCUUGAAAAGGAUAAGGAGUAAAUGAUCAUAAUAAGAAAGCAAUGUGCACUUGAAGAGCCUACGACAGAACACUUCAUGAAACCAUAUGAAAGAUUCAUGCACCUGAAAAUAAUGAAGUGAUGAGAUCUCAAAAUGUUAUUUCACAUUGAGAACCGAUGCGAAAUAAUAUAUCAUCAGUACUUUGAUACAAUAUUGGCGUAAUAUUGUGAAAGAUUACGAAGAUAUGAAUUCUAUGUUUAUUUAAGCAUGUUGACAUAGAAACAUUUAUCAAGUGACAUGAAAGGAUGCAUUUUGGUAAGCAUAAAAUUUAUUUGAUUUGCAGUCCAAACACUUGAAGAUGUCACACAUGAAAUAUUGAAUAUUAUCACUUGAUAAAAUUUAUAUAAAAACUUUUUAAGGAUUUAAAGUGUUUUGUAGCAUAUAAAAGUUUCUGGGAAAUUUAUUUAUAAUCAUUAUAUUGUAUAAGCUUAUAGCUUGAAAAUUGUUAGAACUCUUGGAGAGUUUUCAAAAACAAUAGAUUGUUUGCUGACAUAAGAAUAUACCGAAUUAAAUUAGUUAUGAAGUACCAUAUUUUAAUGUCAUUGAUGCACAACACUAAUGUAUCUUGCAAAUACUAUAAGGUCUGAUAUAGCCUUUUCAGUCAAUUUGUUAGCAAGGUAUAUUUCUGCUCCUACUAGGAGAUAUCGAAAUAGGAUAAAGACAUGAACUUAUUUUUAUUCUAAAGAUUAUUGUCCCGAUAUUAUUGGUCAUACUGAUGUUAGGUACUUAUUUGACCCGCAUAAAUCUCGGUCUCAAACAUGCAAUGUGUUCACAUGUGAGGACACUGUCAUAUCUUGGAGAUAUACAAAGACGUCUAUCUAGCCACUUUAUUGAACCAUAAUGAGAUAAUAGCUAUUCAUGAAACUAGCAGAGAAUAUGUAUGGCUGAGGUCCAUGAUACAUCUCAUUCGAGAAAAAUGUGGUUUAAAAUAUGACAAAACACCCACAAUUUUAUAUGAAGAUAAUAUAGCAUGCAUAACACAACUCAAGGAAGAAUUCAUAAAAGGAGAUAAAACGAAGCACAUUUCACCAAAGCUUUUGUAUACACAUGAGCUACAAAAGAAUGAUGAUAUUAACAUGCAACAAAUUCAUUUGAGUGACAAUAUGAUUGAUUUAUUCACACCGUCUCUUUAAACUGUAACUUUCAAGAAGAUGAUGCACAAGAUUGGGAUGCAAAGACUCAAGAAUGUUCUCAUUAGAGAGAGUUAAUACGCGUUGUACUCUUUUUUCCUUACGAGGUUUUGUCCCACUGGAUUUUCCUUGUAAGUUUUUUAAUGAGGCUGCCUAUAUGCGUAUUGUUAGAGAUGUGUACUCUUUUUUCCUUCACUAGAUUUUUUCCCACUGGGUUUUUCUAGUAAGGUUUUAACGAGACACAUUAUCUAUCAAUUAGACAUUCAAGGGGGAGUGUUAUAAAUGUAUUUAUAUUAUAGUGAAUGUCUAUCAAGAUCUAGUUGAUAUCUAUCAAGAUUUGAAGUAUAUGUCUUUUAGUAAGUCAUUAGGAGUAAAUUUUUCCUAUAAAUAGGAGAGCUUCCUUCAUUGUAUUCACUCCUCAACAAUCCUCACGAGAAAUAAAAAAGUCUCCUUUCUUCUCUCUCUCUUGUUCUUAUUUUAUAUUUCAUAGCAGUUAUUAUUGUUGUUGUUGUUGUUGUUGUUAUUAUUAUUAUUGUUGUUGCUGUUGGUGCUGCUGCUGCUACUGUUGUUGUUGUUGUUGUAAUUUUAAAGAUAAGAAUUACUAUACUUUAAUUGAAUAAAAAUAUUUACUUAGAAAGUAAUAUGAAAUAUAAAAAUAUAUUUAAAGUUAAAAAUCACACUUAGUUUAAGGAUAAGAAUUUACAAAAAUAAAAUAUUUUUAGUUUAAGGAUAAGAAUUUAUGAAAGUAAAAUAUAUCUUUACGGAUUUCAAUUUCUUAAAGUUAGGCUAGGUGAUUGUUACUCUAAUGAAAUAUUUAAUUAUUAUCUUUAUUUUAUUAUUAAAAAAUUAUUUUGACAUAAAUUCAAAAAUUAAAUCGAUUAGUAAGAUGUUAGAAAUAGAAUAAAAAUUAUUUGAAAACAAUUCCAUAUUAAUAUGCAUUUGAUUAGAUAGGAUCUAAUGCAUCAAGUAUAAUAACUAUCUACCUAGUCUUAAAAAUAAAACGGAACUUUAUGUCACGUAGUAUUGAGCUGUAAAAAAUUUCAGUGAAUUAAUAAAGUAGCAAGUAAAACAAUUAUAUCAGUCUCUACAAAGAAAACACCUUAAAUAGGUUAGUAGAUGAUAAAUUUAAAAACAUAUUUUCCAUCAAAAUAAUAGUUAUUGAGUUAUUAGUUGUUUGAUUUUUUUGUCUUUGGAUAGUUCUUUUAAAUUUCUCUUAAUAUUGAAUUAAAUACACAAAUCAUUACAUACAUACAUACAUACAUACAUAUAUAAAAAUAAAAUAUAAAUACAUAAAUAUCUAUAAACAUUUAAUUUAAUAAAUUAAUAAUAUAACAAUAUCUCACGAUUUUGCAGCAAUAUCUUUUGCUUGAGACUAUGUUGGCAAACUCAAAGGAUCACAAGCAAAUAAUUUCGCGGUGAAGAACCAUAAGAAGAGCCAUACCUUUAUCUUUGAUGAGGAAAUCAAUUAUUGCUGCUCGUACUUUAUACCACGAUAAAUGAUGGAAGUACAUUGAAGGACAUUAUUGACUUUCGAAAUUAUGAAAAGGAGCAGUUGAAUUAAUUUGAUGAUUAAACCAUAAUACCUGUUAAAAUAUAUGCAUUGAGCUAGCCAACUUGACAUUAAUUAGCCUAUGUGUUGGAACUGCUUGCUGUUCUUUUGAUCCAUUUGUAUUCCCUCGCCUGUAGCAAUUAUUAUUUCAUAUGACUAUCGUUGAAUGUUUUCAAUCAAAAAUAUAUAAUGUUUGAUAAUCAACACGCAGGUAAUUGCUUAACAAAAUAGACAGAGUUGAUCAAUAAUUUUUUAGUGCCCAAAUCAAAGAAUCUUUACACGUCAGACAUGCUAAUGCAUAAUAAAAAGCCUCAAAACAUUUUUACUAAGGAGAAAAGGGUCAAUCUCAAAUGAUUUGUGGAUCACCCAACCAUCGCAGCCAUGUCACAUACCCCAUCAUGAUUCAUGUGUGUCCUUCACAACACCUCCAAAAUUCUACUAUCCAACAAUGGUUUUGGUGUUCUAUGCUUCAUAUAGGUUUGCACAAAAGAAUCCUGAAAAGCAAAUAUAUUAAUUUUUAUUAAAGCAAACGAACAAUAUCAUAACGAAAAAUAUUACUUGAAUUCAUGUAUGAAUAUAUUAGGAAGAAUAGCCUGUAAAAAGACAAUCAUCUACAUACAAAAAAUAAAAAUGUUAAAACACAGAUUUUUUUUUAAAAGGACAUUUUUGUAUGCAGUAAAUAAAAAUAAUGAAAGAUAACUUAACAUUACAUGUUAUUGUAGGAGUAUAUAUAAGAAAAGUUAAGAAUCUAGAACUUCAUUCGAAUUUAAUUGUUUUUUCAAAUUCAAAAUUAUAUCAUUUUGUUAUAAAAAGAUUAGGUUGUUACUCUUUCUUAUCAUGUUUAUCUAGUUAUUCAUAUUUGAAUUGAGAAAAAUAUUUAAAGUUAUAGUAUAAGCUUUUGAAAUUCUAGUGAAUAAUUAUUUUUUUAUGAGUACAUAUUUUUGUAAUUAUUUUGAUCAUAAAUAGUAUUUUUUUUAAUUCUCUAAAUGGAACCGUAUUUUUUUAAAUUAUCCAUGCUCCCAAAUUUAAAUUAACCACAAUCAAUUUUGUUUGAAUAAGAUAUAUACAAACUACAACAUUUACAACAUAUAUUUAAUGUGCAGUUUAUUUAAAAAUUAAUCUUAUAGAGAAAUAAUUUACUGUCAAUAUUCAUACUUUACUCAUUUUUGUUAAAAUAGGAAAGCGAGUUUAUCUUUAUAAAAUGAUUAACAAUCUGCACAUUUCAAAUGUGAAAGCCACGGUCAAAAUUCAAAAUUUUAUUUCAAGUUUUAAAUUUAAUCUUUUAAAUAACAUUUGAAAAGAAUAAGUUAAAUUAAUAUUUAAAUAAAUUAUAUUCAGAUAUGUAUACCAUUUAAAUUUAAAAAGAGAUAAGUUUCUGAAGAGUUGAAGUCUAUUUAGAACUAUUCAGCCAUAAAUUUCAAUUUUUAAGCUAAUAAGAAAAUAGGUAUUAUUAUUAUUAUUAUUAUUAUUAUUAUUAUUAUUAUUAUAAAAAAUACUACUACUACCGGAACAUUUUUUUUUCUAAAUUAAAAAAUUACUAGUACGUGUCUGCUAUUAUUACUAUUACAAUUAUUAUUAUUUAUUGUUAUUACUAUUAUUAUUAUUUUUUGUUUAAUAUUUUUUUUGUUAAAUAUAUCAUCCUAAAAGUAAUAUUAUGAGCUACUAUUAUUUUAUUAUUAUUAUUAUUAUUAUUAUUAUUAUUAUUAUUAUUAUUAUUAAAUAGUUAGGGUUUAUUUAGGACUCUUCAAUUAUGCUUGCUAGGUUUGAGCUAAUAAAAAUCUUUUGUUUUUUUUUUAAAGUAUUAUUAUUUUUAAAUUCAAAUAUAUAAUAAAGAUUUGAUUAUAUUUUCAAAUUCAACUAAUUAUAAAAUUUUUAUUACGAUACUUUUAUACUUGUCCUAAAAUCUGUCACGUGGCUUUUCAGCAUUUUGCCAUGUGACUUCUUCUGGUUCUUCCUCCUCUGUUUUAUAAUAUAUAUAGAAUGUAGAUGACCUUAUAUAAGAGGUUAUGAAGGACACUAAUUAAAGUAGCAAGUUAGUAGGUAAUUGACCAUUAUCAUGUAUUAUCGUUUCAUGCUAAUAGUCGUAAUAUUACACAUAUAAUUUCUUGUCCUUAUUUUUAAUAAUUGUGGUGGAUAUGUCAGCUUGUGUACCUCGACUAAUUUCAUGAACAUCUACCAUCUCCCACCAAGAAUAGGUGUUAGGUAACUCCGUCAUUCGAGUAGACGAAAACCGUAUUAUUUUGUGAUAGUAAUUAUUUAUUUUCUUUUCAAAUUGUUUUAUCAUGGCUUGUAUAUUAUUUUGUCAUGACUUCUUGAGUUGUGUUACUUUUUAUCGAAGUAACUUCAUUUUAUUUUUCUUGAGUCGAGAUGCUAUCGAAAAUAACCUUAUAACCAAAGGUGUAUCUAGGAUUUCGAAAGAAUGAACACACUAUUACGAAAAAGGUGAAUCUAUGAUAUAAAUUUGAUCCAUUUGAUCUUUCAUUAAUUUAAAAUUAUAGGUUCAAAAUUAAUUGUUAUCUUCUAAAAAUAGUAAUUUUUUUAUUUAUAGCUGUAUCUCAUAUCGAAGAUGUUGAGAUCACUUGAACCCAUUGAUUGUAUGUUAUAUCAUUCACUACUUAGAAUUAUAUUAUUAUUAGUAUAUUAUUGAUAUUUGUUUUUCACACACUAUUCUAGUAGAAGAAUCCCCUUUGAAUUACAUUUCAAAAUUUCACUUCCUAAAUUAGAAAAAAAUGUUUUGAUGAAUAUGUUGUUUCCCUUUUAGUUAAAAAAAAACUCCGCAUUUUUUUUUUUCACUUAAUAAGAGGAGAUGUAAUUUGCCAUUUUGUUCUAUAUCAUUAUGUUCAUUCUAGGCGGAAAGAUCAUGAACUUGGUCUACUCAUUCACCUCAUUAACAAGUUGUUGACAUAUUUUGCCCUCGUUAGAUUUUUAAUCUAAAAGCUUUGAUCCCCGGAAGGAUGCAAUACUAUUUUAAACAAUAAAAGAAUUACUUGCGGGCCAGUUGAUAGUUCAAUACUAUUGAAGAGUUCACGCGAGUUGUCCUCCAAUUUUGGGACCUAGUCCCAAAUAGACUAGACAAAUAAGAACUAAACAAUAAAGUACGUGAAAGAGAGAGUAAAAGACAUGACAAAUUUUACGUGGAAACUCCUUGCUCAAAAGAGAAAUACUACGAUCUGCCUCCAGGAUUUCUAAACUCCACUAAUAUUCAAGCAACCUGAAUACAACUCCAUUACAUCAAGGAUUAACCUCUUAAUCCUUCUUCUCCUAGUAAUACCUCUAUUACAAAGAGAAUAUACAGUAGCUCUACUGCACCACUGCCCAGCUAACUCUAACUGAGUAAAAACUAACUUUAACUUUAAUAUCACCUAACUCUAGAUGACAAUAAAGAAUUUUGAAGCAAUCACACAAACACCUACUAAUAACAAUGACAAACAGUAGGUAAUGUUUAACACCACAGUAAAAAGACUCAAAUAAAAUAAAAAAAUAAAAUACAACUUUGUGAACUAUUAGUUCCCUGUUGCAAAAAUGAGUAUUUGAUCCAAGAGCUUCAAGAGAGAUAUUUUGUUGUGAGCAUAUAGAAGUUUUUUCUUCUUAUUGUGGAAGAUGAGCAAUAUAUAUAUGACACAAAAAAACCAAGAAAGUAUUCCAUUGGCUGAGACAAAAAGGUUGCAGCAACUUUCCACCAACUUUUUGUACUUUCAUCCAGCUGGUGAUUGACUGUGAUAGUGACGUGUACUCCCAACUAGGUCCCUAAGUAGUAGUAGCUUUGUCAUCACACAUUCUCUAGGAACCAGGUCCCAACAAACAGUUUGUCAAUCAUCAAAAUUAAGGACUUAACAAUUUUCUUCUUUUUGAUGAUGACAAACCCAUGCACGUCUUUAACAUCUUUCAGCAUCUACAACAACAUACAAUCUCUGAGAACCUUAAUAUGUUCCCCCUAUGAUUACUACUGGCAUUCCUCCCCACUUGUUCCCCCUUUUUAUAAGCAGCCAAGGUUUCCCCUGAGUAUGAGGACCCUAUUUCAUUCAAUACAGCACAAUACAGAUGCACCAUAUCUUCCCUUUUGACAUCAUCAAAGUGGUAAAGUAGUAAGCCAAGCAUAGAUAAUCAUACAUAUUAAUUCAUGGUCAUUGAGGCUACACUUACAUGAUCAAGAAAGAUUAGAUAAAAAUAAGAGAAGUGAUAACAUAAAAAUAAAUCAUUCAUUGAUCAAGUCAGGCAGUAUCAAACACUAUUAAAAAAUAGUGACCAUAAAAAACAUAACAAAUAUGUCAGUUACAAUCAAGAGUCAAUAAAAACUAGAGAGAAUAGAUUUUAACGGGGCUUAAGAUGACGAGUGAGAAGGGAAAUGAGUAGGAACCAGGUUGGGAAGGAUUUAGAAAGAAGGGCCAGAAGCAUGAGACAGUUGCCUGAGGAGUAUGGUCAUCCUUUCACUCUCAGAAACAUGAGCCUUUGUAAUUUACUGUGUCAGAUCUUCAUUAUUCUUAGUUAAGACUUCAGCUUUUGCUUCCAACUUCUUCACCCUUUCCUGCAGAACUACAUUUUUAGUAUUCAACUUCCCACCUGAACUAGUUUCCUUUUACCCUCCUUUCAUAGAUGUUGCCUUUAGUGCAGCAAUUUCAGUAUCUUUUUGAGCCACAAGGGUUGUCAUAGCAUCAAGCUCUUCCAUUAGACUAUUUUGAAAAUCAACCAACUCAAAAAUAAUGGACUUGGAUUUCCACUUCUGCUAGGACACACACUCAUUGUCUUCUAGAGUAGUGAUGUUGAACAUCUGCAUCACAGAUCCAGUCUUGCCCUUUCCACACACAACAUUAAAGUAUGCAAACACCUUAUUUAGCUAGAACCCAUAGGCCAAACCAUGCUUUCCAUCCUUGGUUGUCAUCAUAGUAUGCAUAUGUUCAAUUACAAUAGCAGGCAAAUUGGCUUUCUUGUAUUUGGACAGGAUCUCCAUAAGGAACAGGUCGGGCCCUGUCAUAGUUGUCUUCUUUUUAGAUAUAUCAAGAAGAGAUUUGUUUAGCAACUCAAAAAAUAGUUGGUAUUCACUUUUAGAGCCUUUUUGUUCACAUUCUUGAUGUUCAUGUCAUCAAGUCUUCCACAGAUCUUCAAAAAUUUUACAAAGCCCUCUUCACCUCUCACAAACAUAGUAGCACAGUUGGAACUCUAAGGAUUUUCGACAUUACCUUCAUCUAUUUCAAUGUUUAUCUCAUUUACAUAAGAGGUCAAAUGUGUACUAUCUUCAAAAAAGACCAAAUUAUGGUAGCACAUGCGCACUUCCUAUUUAUGCAAAGAAGGAACGGGUCCUUCAAACAAAUGUUCCCAAUGUUGGAACUUUACCCAAUUAAUCAAUUCUUGUAUCCCUGGCAUUCCAGCAAUAUCUAGGUUAAACACCCUACCCCUCAAAACCUCUUGGGUCUUAAGGAUAUAUUGCCUUGUUUCCCUGGACAACACUUUUACUUUUCAGUAGAUAUAGCAGCCUUUUCUAAAGGACCAGUUCCCUUAGUAGAAGCUUAAGGGGUUCCUGAGGUUUUGGCUGACUUUGGACUGGGAUUUGGUCCCUUAGCACUAUCCUUCUAUAAUUCUUUUUUACCAGUGACUUUGGACACUGGUUUCCUCACCGUGUUUCCUUUAACUUUUCCUUUCUCAGAGGAAAUAACAUAUUUUCCUCUUACUCUAGCCUUAGUAGCAGCUAUACUCCAUUUAAUAUCAAAAUCAAAUGACUCAUCAUAAUAGUCACUUAGGCUUUCAAACAUGCUAUCAAAGUCACUCUCAUCACUGUCACUACUGUCACUAAACAGACUCUCAGUAUCCUUAUCUGAAUCUUCAACUUGCACCACUUUUUUAGCAACAGGCUCAAUCACAUGUAUUCCCUUCUUCUUUGGCAUUCUUCUUUUCUUAGUACUUUUUUUUGUUUUUUUAAGGCCUCCUUCAUUUAGUUCCUGGUACUCCACCUGGUCCCUGAAGUUUUAAUAGUGACAGAAGAAGCCCUGGUGGAUGAGGAGGACCUAUUCUUGGAUAGCUUCUAGGAUAAGGGUCUAUUAUCCUCAUUGUCAAACUCAUUUUUUGCCUCUUUAUCACCACCAGAUAGACCAAGAACAGGAGGAAUCACUAUAUUCUCAUUAUCAAUAUUCUCAGGUGGGUUAUUUUGCCUCUUCAUAAAUAGUAUAACUAGGAGUGUCCCACAUAAGGGGUUCUACACUCAAGGCAGUGAGACCUUGCACCCCAAUAUAUUUACUUAUGGCUUAAAUGUUGGAAGAGGUUCCCUUAGAGGUUGGUAAGUCCUCAAAUAAGUAUUCAUCUAUGAAUUUACUUCCAGAUUUAUUGGGAGAAUCAGACUUGUCAAGUGAUGAGAUUUUAGAGGAAGAGUCCAAAUCCUGAUCAGAAGGAACUGGUUGGUCAGAGGUUGGGUCUUUGGAUGGGUUGAUUUGAGAAGCGAUUUUGAUUUUAAGUAGGACAUGAAGGAAUGAUUCAGAUCUAAUAAUGAGAUGUGUCUGAUGAGAUGUGUUCGGUCAGAUGGACGUGUCUCUUGGAAUUAAAGUACAUGUGGAAGAAGCGUGAGAGUGAUGUGGCACACAUCAUUAAAUAUUUAAAAUAGCCACUAUUAAGGAAAAGUAAGUGAUACUGACCUGAUUAGGGACUUGGUCCCUACAUGAUUUUUGAACUCAAUCACUUUGUGUUGUCUCACCUCUUAUUUUUAUAUAUUCUCCUUCUUGACUUGGGUGUAUAUCUGCAGAAAAUAUGAGACUCAAUUACAUAUGUAGGACAUCAUCUAACCAGGAUACCUGCUUACCAGGUCAUAGUCAUGCAUGGGGGAUUAUGAGAGUAGCCUACAUCCAGCUUGAUCUAUCAUCUCUGCCAUAUCUUUUUCCAUUCAACCUGCUUCCUAACCACUUCUUUUAGUAGGUCUACUAAGAAUAUGCUCUCCAGGACUAUAAGUGACACGACUCAAACUAGGGCCUUGUCAUAAUGGGCAUCCCAAGUCCAACCCGGACUAGGGACCACCCCCAAUACCCAACCCAACCAUCCAAACAUAUACCUUAUAUCGGCUAAAUUCUGAAUAUAUAACAAGAUAGCAUAUCUGUGCAAAUCCAGACUCUAGGAUAGGUCUAUGACUGUGACCGACCCAAACGAGUCAAACCAUCCAAACCCAUCUGAUAACCAAACCAAACCAUAAACCAAUUCAUGCACCCCUUACCGAGUGAGUUCAAUUGUAAACACAGAUACACACACACACACACACACACAUAUAUAUAUAAAAUCCAAAACAUUAAAUGAUGGAACAACCAAUAAGACCAUCCAAUGGUGUCAACCCCAUACCAAUACUAAGGUUGACACCAAAACCGCACUGCCCAUACCAACCCAUGGUAGUUUCACAAAUCCUCUAACCAAAAGAAAAAUAAUAUCCGGUUGGGUCAUGCCCCCAAUCACAGCCAAAACCAAUAUCUAUAAAAUAAUUGAACUAUGUAAAGACAUCUAUGAUAUAAAAUGGAGCCUUCUGGAAUAUGAAAACUUACCAUUUCAAUCCAACCGAGCUGAUCCCGAUAUUUGAUCACUAUGCAGGAGGAGUAGAAUGGUCGGUUCUUGCAUCGCUGGGGAUAAAAUCACUGCAAGACGAUUUAGCUAGUGAACGUUAGCAAACACUCAGGAUUAAGAUAAAAUAAUGCCAACCAAUAAAACCAAGCCAAAAAAGGAAACCUGGUUUAGCAUGCAUUAAAAACCAUUAACCUGGAUUUAUGUAGCUUAACCAUCCCAGAACCACCCAUGAGCUAUAUGGGUCCAGUGUAAUCCCCUAAAUAGGCCCGAUGCAUGUAGCCAUAUGAACCAGAGAUACCAUAGAAGUAGGGGAUUCCCAAGUACCCUUCGCUCUCCAUGAUACAUAUGUAUAAGUGAACUUAGAGGAUUCUCGUGUACCUCAUAAGUAUCAUCUAUAGUCGCUAUGACCAAUCCUCAUGUCGACAAAUAUGAAUCUCCAGUGUCAGUCCAUUGGACUCACACCUUCAUGGUUAACUAUCACACUCUGCCAUCAUUGCCCAAUUAAAACCAUUACCAUAUAACCAAACCACCAUUCCAUUUAUUAUUAACCAACGCUAUAAGUAGUGGUAUCGUCAUACUGACUAUAGCUUACAAGAAAUAUCCUUAUCCAACCUUUUAAAGAAUAAGGGAUUCCUAUAUACCCAUAGAUUACAUUAUCAAAUUCACUUAGAGGAAUCCCAUGUACCCCACAAGUAUUUCAUUAUUAAGUUUGUCUGGGGGAUUCCAUUGUACCCCAUAAGGUUUUCAAUUAGACAAACCAUAACCAUUAAGACCUUACGAUUUAACUAUUCCAAAAUAUUUAAACCAUUUAUACUAUUUAGGAUUUCAUUACUAAGUUAUACCAUGCAUAGUUCAAUGAAAGUCCAACAACUUAACCAAAAAUAUUCUCAUAGGCAUUUUAUCAAACAUGUUGGGGGAAUAUAGUUUCCAAAGCCAAAACCAAAACCAAUUAUCAAUUAACCACAUUAUAAUAUGAAAACCAUAAGUAAAAGACAUGGGAAAAACCAUAACCAACCAUUAUAACCAAAACCCCAAACAAAUAAUUGAAAACCUAAAACCAUACCAUAUUUAUGUCAUGAAAACAAUUCAUAAAACAUGCCUUUAGUUGGAACUAGCAAUGAGGGAGGAGUAACUUGCCUUUGAUUAGAAGAUGAUGGAGAGAAAUCACCUUAGCAAGUCCCCAAAUUGAUCCUAUUGAUGAAACCCUAGGCUUCCUUAACCCAAAAGCCUUGAGAGAAUUUGAGAGUGUUUUAAGAUAGUUUCUAAGUGUUUAAGAUUAGAAUACCCAUGGUAGUUUCACAAAUCCUCUAACCAAAAGAAAAAUAAUAUCCGGUUGGGUCAUGCCCCCAAUCACAGCCAAAACCAAUAUCUAUAAAAUAAUUGAACUAUGUAAAGACAUCUAUGAUAUAAAAUGGAGCCUUCUGGAAUAUGAAAACUUACCAUUUCAAUCCAACCGAGCUGAUCCCGAUAUUUGAUCACUAUGCAGGAGGAGUAGAAUGGUCGGUUCUUGCAUCGCUGGGGAUAAAAUCACUGCAAGACGAUUUAGCUAGUGAACGUUAGCAAACACUCAGGAUUAAGAUAAAAUAAUGCCAACCAAUAAAACCAAGCCAAAAAAGGAAACCUGGUUUAGCAUGCAUUAAAAACCAUUAACCUGGAUUUAUGUAGCUUAACCAUCCCAGAACCACCCAUGAGCUAUAUGGGUCCAGUGUAAUCCCCUAAAUAGGCCCGAUGCAUGUAGCCAUAUGAACCAGAGAUACCAUAGAAGUAGGGGAUUCCCAAGUACCCUUCGCUCUCCAUGAUACAUAUGUAUAAGUGAACUUAGAGGAUUCUCGUGUACCUCAUAAGUAUCAUCUAUAGUCGCUAUGACCAAUCCUCAUGUCGACAAAUAUGAAUCUCCAGUGUCAGUCCAUUGGACUCACACCUUCAUGGUUAACUAUCACACUCUGCCAUCAUUGCCCAAUUAAAACCAUUACCAUAUAACCAAACCACCAUUCCAUUUAUUAUUAACCAACGCUAUAAGUAGUGGUAUCGUCAUACUGACUAUAGCUUACAAGAAAUAUCCUUAUCCAACCUUUUAAAGAAUAAGGGAUUCCUAUAUACCCAUAGAUUACAUUAUCAAAUUCACUUAGAGGAAUCCCAUGUACCCCACAAGUAUUUCAUUAUUAAGUUUGUCUGGGGGAUUCCAUUGUACCCCAUAAGGUUUUCAAUUAGACAAACCAUAACCAUUAAGACCUUACGAUUUAACUAUUCCAAAAUAUUUAAACCAUUUAUACUAUUUAGGAUUUCAUUACUAAGUUAUACCAUGCAUAGUUCAAUGAAAGUCCAACAACUUAACCAAAAAUAUUCUCAUAGGCAUUUUAUCAAACAUGUUGGGGGAAUAUAGUUUCCAAAGCCAAAACCAAAACCAAUUAUCAAUUAACCACAUUAUAAUAUGAAAACCAUAAGUAAAAGACAUGGGAAAAACCAUAACCAACCAUUAUAACCAAAACCCCAAACAAAUAAUUGAAAACCUAAAACCAUACCAUAUUUAUGUCAUGAAAACAAUUCAUAAAACAUGCCUUUAGUUGGAACUAGCAAUGAGGGAGGAGUAACUUGCCUUUGAUUAGAAGAUGAUGGAGAGAAAUCACCUUAGCAAGUCCCCAAAUUGAUCCUAUUGAUGAAACCCUAGGCUUCCUUAACCCAAAAGCCUUGAGAGAAUUUGAGAGUGUUUUAAGAUAGUUUCUAAGUGUUUAAGAUUAGAAUAAUAGGGUAAAUAAUGUCCCAAGAGUAAUAUAAGUCAUUGGGCCUUAAGAGGUUAAGAGGAAAAAUAUACAGAUUACCCUAACUUAAACUAUUUAAAGUUCCUGCAGGUAGGUACAACCAUGCCAUACCAACCGUACCCUAGGGUACGAGUGGUACCCACCAAUUAUAUCCCAAGUAAAACGUCAACCCUACACUAUUUAGCAUACGACCAACCAAGACAAAUCGUAUCCAACUAUAUGACUAAUACCAUUAAGUCAUACCCUAGGCACAAUAGAAUCACCUAGACCAAACUUUAGGGCAACAUAUGAGAGACACCUUACCCAUUGUACCCUAACAUACAACCUGUAUAUUCCAACUAUACCUUGGACAGAAACCAACCAACCCACACCAUCCAAUACUGGAUAACAUACGACCACCAUCAUAUAAGUCAUACCCCAUCAUACGAAAAGUACCCCUAAUCGUAUAAUGUCCAAAAGCCAAAAACUGAGGAAAUUUUCUAAGUGUCAAAACCCAGGGUAUUUUAGUCUCCCCCACUAGGAUCAUUCAUAACAAGGUAGUACAAGCAUGAUUUACACCCUUAGAUGCCUCUACUCUUACCUUUAAGACAGAAAAUAAAAUACUAAGGAACCAAUCCUUCCUUUAACAAACUCAGAAAAUAAAAAUGCAAGGAAAUCAACCUUUCAUUUAAAAAAUUUGAAAAUAAAGAUAUGAUCAAGAACAUAUACCUUUUGUAGGAAUAUUCAGAGUAGAAAACAAAUAAGGAUACUUGGACUUUAUAUCCUCUUCCGCUUCUUAUGUAGCCUCUUCCACCUUGUGGUUCAGCCAUAGAACCUUAACCGAGGCCAUAUCUUUGGUCCGUAACUGAUGAACCUAUUGAUCCAAGAUCUUAAUCGGGACCUCUCCAUAAGAUAACGAGUUUGAGAUACCCAAUCCUUCUAAGGGAACAACCGAUGAAGGAUCACCCAAACACCUCCUCAACAUAGAGACAUGGAUACUGGAUGAAUAGAGCUCAAACUAAAAGGAAACUCCAAUUCAUAUGCCAUAUUAUCAACCUUUUGCAAAACCACAUAAGGACCAACAUAUUGGGGACUAAGCUUUCUCUUCUUCCUAAACUGUAAUGCCCCGAGACUGCAUUUUGGGUGUCACACGAUGCUUACAACCCCGAAGGACCACAAGAUAACCCAUGACUGGUACCUGCUGUGAGCACUGAAUAAUAUUAAUGACACAUAUGCAAAAAUAAAAUAGAUAAGGCCAUAAGGUUCAUAAUACUAAAUCAAAACUAAAUACAACUGUAGAAUAACUUCUAACUAAUAAUGUCUAAAAAGCCUCUAAAUAUUUGAAAUAAAGGAGUUAAUAGGACAGGCCCCAACUAACUCACAAUUGCUAUCUAAAAUAACUGUAAUACUGAAAUACUAUAAUGGCUAAAUAAAUAUUGCGUCCUCGAUGGAUGGGGAAUUAUUACUCUAGCUGCGACUGAUAGACUGAUUUGGCUAAGUAUGGUCAGGAAUUCGAGCAUCCGAACCUAUGAUAUGAGACAUCAUAGCGUAAAGAGAGAGUAUGCGUCAGUACGUGGAAUGUACUAGUAUGCUAGAUGAGGUAAGGCUAAUAUGCAUGGGCCCAUAAGUAUGAAUAAUAACUGACUGAAUGAUAUAAAGUAACUGAAUGAGAUUACAUAGAGAACUAAAACUGUCGUAAUCACUGAUUAUGAAAUACUAUGCAUAUACGUAUAUAUAUAUCGUGUAUCUGAGAUUAUACUAUAACUGAAUACUGAUGUUCUGUUGGCUAUAUAACUGAUAUCUGAGUGACUGAUAACUGACAACCAUGGUUCUAUAGAACUGGACUAAGUUCUAUACUGAAGAUAGAAACUGAGACUGUGGGAGUGUUCAUUUAACCAACAUACCCCGAUGUAAAUUGAUUUGGGGUCCAACUUGUGACCCCAAUUAGAAAGUUGUUAGCACCUUGCCAUGGGAUACUAAUAAUGAUGUGUCAACCCUAGUCUGGCAGGAAGACUCAUGAAAUGUAUAUAUGAUUGCAUCAACCCUAUUUUGGAAAGAGGACGACUUACCCUACACUGGAUGCGUAGUUCUGUAAUGCAAGGACUGCUACUAAGGGUCAAACCCUCUGCUGGUAGGAAUGCCCCCAUCCCUGGGUUCGCUCGAUCCUGAAUCAUACUACCAACUGAAUAGACAUUGAUCACUAGAUUGUACUAAACUUGACUAAACUGACACUGAUCAUGUUAAUUGACUAAACUGGACUGAGUUCACUGAGUUCUGUUACUGGCUGAGUACUACUGUUCUUGACCUUUACUGGGUCUAUUCUAUUUCUAUGCGACUAAAUAAACAACUAGAUUUUGGAUAAUAAAUAUUCCAAGGACUCGAUAGCAUAAUUAGUAAAACAUAGCCAAUCAUAAAAGCAUUGCAAUAGUUAAUUGUUCACAAUUUAUUCACUGAGGUAAUUUGUCAAACAUGUGAAAGUCAUGAACUUGUACAUAAAUGAUAACACAUGAUAACAUGUCAUGAAUACACUAUUCAUGUCACAUGGACAUUAUAUCAAACACGUGGGAAGCAUAAUUAAUGCACAUGACAAUGAACAACACAUAAACAUCAAGACUUCAACUUAAACUUGAAAUUUCAAGGGUUUUGACAUGGGAAUUAUAUCAAUCAACAUACAUGCUAUCUUAUAUUCAUAAAACAUAUAAUUAAAUCUUGAAUUGAAACCCAUACAAUAACACAAACACAAAUACAAUCCAAUUUGAACAUAUAAAUUAUGAAUUUCAUAGCUUGUAGUUUUGAAAAGGGUUCUUGAACUCCAAGGGUGAAAGAAAACCCAAGGAUGAAUAUCUAACAUACCUUGAUUAGUGAAUUUGGAAAGAUUGAUGGUGAAUUCUUGAUAUUUGAUCUUGAAUUGUGGAGGCUAGGGUUUUGGUUCUUGAAAGAGGGCUAUUCUAAUUUGAGUAAUUUGUGAAUAAUAAGCAAUUAGAGCUCUUUUAGGGCUUAAUUCUGUGUUUUGACUGACUGGGGUGAGGGAAAAGAACAUAAAAGCCCUUGGAAUUUAAAACUCAGAACUGACUGGAAAUCCCAAUUUUGACACCUGGGGCGACGCAGUACAAUUGCGUCGAGCCACUGGAAAGCUGACAACUGUGAACUGGAAACUUGGCGUGAUGCAGCGCAAUUGUGGUAUCUCACUUAAUGUGAAUUUGGCCCUUGGUGCGAUGUGAUGAAAUCGGAUUGGGUUCACUGAAAAAGGAUGAACGCCAAAUAACACAUCUGUAUGAUGUGCUGAUAUCACGAUGGCACACUGGAAAAAAACAAAUGCCAUUUUGACCCUCACCACGAUGCAGUGUUGUCCAUUUUGGUAAAUUGCUUUACUAAAAGUGUUAUAAAUUCUCACUCGAGGAUCGAAUUUAGAUGAAAUUGGUAUCAUCGGAAAGAUAAUUUAAUGUCCUACAGUUUGGUAGGACUUGAGCUAUAAAAUUCUGAGUAGAGCAAAAGUUAUGCUUGUUUGAAGUUGACUAAAGCAAUAUUCUUAUCAAAAACUCAAUCGUGAGAUAUUUUGAUUCAUCAAAUUGCUGGGAGUUAUUUGGGACCUUAAUAUGCAUCGAACUAACUCAAAAAACUACCAAAUAAUCUUAAUGUACCACACCUGAUCCUGAAAUAUUACUCUAGCAUGGGUUUGGAUUUUUGAGGUAUUACAAUAUCUCCCCCUUGGGUACAUUCGUCCUCGAAUGAUACUGGUUAUGAUGAAAGCACUGAAGGACUGAGAUUACAUGAUGAAUAUACAUGCUUACAUGACUGAAUCUGUAUAUGACACAUAACUGAACUGGUUUUGUAAAUGCAUGACUGACAUGAGAAUGGUAUGCAGCUGAAACUGAGCACGAAAAAGAUAAAUUCUAAGAAAAUUAUUACCUUAAACUAAGUCUGAGUUUGCAGAGAUAAGGUGAGGAUACUUGGUCCGUAUAUCUUCUUCUGUUUCCUAAGUAGCUCCCUCAAUGGACUGAUUUCGCCAAAGAACUUUGACCAAAGGAACUUCUUUGUUCCUUAGUCUGUGAAUCAGAUAAUCAAGGAUUUCAACCUGGAUUUCCUCACAAGAAUGACUACUCUGAACAUCUACACUCUCCAUAGGGGCUACAACAGAUGGGUCACCAAUGCACUUCCUUAGAAAGGAGAUGUGAAACACUAGGUGCACUGAUGCUAAGUUUGCAGGCAACUCAAGCUCAUAAGCUACCUUACCGAAAUGACUGAGAAUCCUAUAAGGCCCAAUAUAUCGGGGACUAAGCUUUCCCUUCCUGCCAAAUCUCUUCACUCCCUUCAUGGGAGAGAUGUUCAAAUACACUAAGUCGUCAAUCUCAAACUUGAGAUCUUUCCUCCUUAUAUCUGCAUAUGAUUUAUGUCGGCUCUGAGCUAUCUUAAGCCUCUCUCUAAUCAAAUGCACCUUCUCUAAAGCAUCAAACACCAAGUUAGGCCGUACUACUACGGCCUCACCUACUUCAAACCAACCAAUGAUAGAUCUAUAUCUCCCCCCAAAAAGAGCCUCAAAUGGAGCCAUUUGAGUACUAGAAUGAUAGCUGUUAUUAUAUGCAAACUCAAUCAAAGAUGAGUGGUCAUCCCAACUGCCUUUAAAGUCAAUGACACACACUCUUAAUAUAUCUUCUAAGGUCUGAAUGGUCCUUUCUGCUUGACUAUCUAUCUGAGGGUAGAAGGCUGUACUGAGGUAGACUUUGGUACCAAGACCCUUUUGGAAGGCUUUCAAAAAUGAAAGGCAAACUGCAUACCUCUAUCUGAAAUAAUGGAUAAUAGGACACUGUACAACCUAACCAACUCUCUGAUAUAGAGCCUGGCAUAGUCCUCAGCUAAAUAAAAGGUAUGAACUGAUAAGAAAUGGGCUGAUUUAGUCAUCCUGUCUACAAUGACCCAAAUCAAAUCAUGAUGAUGAUGAGUACGAGGCAAACUCAUCAUGAAGUCCAUGUUUAUUUCCUCCUAAUUCUAUGUGGGAAUACUAAACUCCUAUAUGGAACCACUAGGCUUUUGGUGCUUAAUCUUAACAUGCUGACAUGUGGAGCACUUAGUUACAAACUCUGCAAUGUCUUUCUUAAUCCCACUCUACCAAUAGAUCUCUCAUAAAUCACGAUACAUCUUAGUGGCCCCUGGAUGAAUAGAGUAACGCAUACCAUGCGCUUUUGAAAGAAUCCACUGUCUAAUGCCAUCCACACAUGGCACACAUAAUCUACCCUGACAAUGCAACACACCAUCUCCCUCUUGGGAGAAAACCUAUACUUUCUGGUCUCUGACUGGCUCUUUCAGCUUAACUAAAUUGGGAUCCCUGUCCUACUUUUCUUUUACCUUGGAAACCAAAGUUGAUUUCAAACUAUUCUGCACCCAAACACUACCCUCAGCUGAAUCAAUCAAACGAACACCUAGUCAGGCAAACUGAUAAACUUCUUGAACUAACUUCUUCUUACCAUCCUCAACAUAAGAAACACUACCCAUGGACAAUCUACCGAGGGUAUCUUCCACUACAUUAGCCUUGCCCAGGUGAUAUAAAACACUCAUGUCAUAAUCUUUCAACUACUAUAACCACCUUCACUGAUGCAAAUUCAAGUCUUUUUAGGAAAUACAUACUGCAAGAUUAUGUGUUCUAUGAACACAUCCACAUCCACCCCAUACAAAUAGUGCCUCCAAAUCUUUAAGGCAAUCACAAUAGCUGCUAACUCUAGAUCAUAGGUGGGAUAAUUUUUUUCAUGAGGCUUAAGCUGUCUAGAGGCAUAGGCCAUAACCUUAACCCUCUGCAUUAAAAUGCACCCCAAACCAACUAUAAUACCCCAUAAAAUUCUCUCGUAGUCUGAGCCUCAGAGCGUGUCAAGUAAAGCAUAAAUCCGACCUUAAAAGGUUGAGAAGUGUCUUCCCAAGUGAUAAAUAUUUGUACCGUGUAGAAUUUCCCUAAUAUCAACUUUUUUUCAUAUAGAUCAUUGAAUAAGCUUUCCAUCGAUACCAAUUUCAUCAAAAUCCAACAUCGGAUGAGAAAAUUAUGGCCAUUUUACUGAAAGCAGUCAGAACCACCCAGGUGCGACGGCUGGGUUGACGGACCAUCAAGAUUAUGACGGACCAUCACCCAGACCAUCACAACCAAGGAAGUGACUCCCUUUUCUGGCCCAAGUACGAGGGCCAGGACGACGGACCAUCGAGGUUGCGACGGACCAUCACUUGGAUCGUCGCACUGAGGCAGUGUGACCUCAUCCUGACCAAUAUGCAAUGGGACGAUCCGACGGACCGUCAGGAUGAGCAACGGACCGUUACUUCGGUCGUCAUAGACCCCGUUCAAAUUUUUUAACUUAAUUUUAAAAGGGAUUUUUGGUCUUUUCCCCACUCUUUUCAGUCCCUAUUUAUAUCCGAUCAAGGCUUACAAUUUUAUUCUUCAUCUUUAACAUUAAAAACUAGGGUUUCUAAAAAAUCAAAACCCUUCUUUCUUUUUCAAGAAAAAUUAAGAGAAAUCAAGAAUCUCUCCAAGAGCCUUUAAGAAAAAGUUUCCUAAGGUAUGUAGAUGUUGAUUCUUGGGUCCCUUUCAUCCAAGAAGCUCUAGAACCCUUUUCAAAAAUUAUGUUUGUGGGUUUCAUAAUUUAUGUGUGUUGAAAUUGAUGUUCAUGCUAUUAUUUAGUUUUGAUUCAUGUUUGUUUGGAAGGUUUUCAAGCUUUGACCCUAGUAUGUGAUAUUCAUGUGAUGUUCAUGAUAAACCCUCUUCAAGUUACUUGUUAAGUGAUAUGUUCAUGUCAAUUAAGUGAAGAAAUUGUUGAAUAAGCAGAGCAUGCUCCCAUAUGUCUGAUAAAAUACUUAUGUGAAGGAAUUAGAGCCAUUAUAGCAUGUUGACUAGAAAUCUCCAAUUGUGUACAAGCCCAUGCAUGCCAAGUGUUUGUUGAAAAGCCUUAGUGAAUGAAUUGUGACAUGAUAGCAUGAAAUUUCCCAAUUAUGUGCUCUUUGAUACAUGCUAAGACUUUAAUACAUUCUAAGUGUUUGAUGCAAGACCUUAUUGAAUGGAGUAUGAGCCAAUAGUAUGUUUCCCUAUACUAUAACAUGUUUAUGAUUUAUAAAUGCUUGAAGAGAUGCUUUAGUAAAUGUUUGUUUGGAAGGUUUUCAAGCUUUGACCCUAGUAUGUGAUAUUCAUGUGAUGUUCAUGAUAAACCCUCUUCAAGUUACUUGUUAAGUGAUAUGUUCAUGUCAAUUAAGUGAAGAAAUUGUUGAAUAAGCAGAGCAUGCUCCCAUAUGUCUGAUAAAAUACUUAUGUGAAGGAAUUAGAGCCAUUAUAGCAUGUUGACUAGAAAUCUCCAAUUGUGUACAAGCCCAUGCAUGCCAAGUGUUUGUUGAAAAGCCUUAGUGAAUGAAUUGUGACAUGAUAGCAUGAAAUUUCCCAAUUAUGUGCUCUUUGAUACAUGCUAAGACUUUAAUACAUUCUAAGUGUUUGAUGCAAGACCUUAUUGAAUGGAGUAUGAGCCAAUAGAAUGUCUCCCUAAACUACCACAUGUUUAUGAUUCCUAAAUGUUUGAAAAGAUGUUUUAGUGAUUGUGAUGGUGAAUGAAUGUCCAUGGUCUUGAUGGUGAAUGAAUGUCCAUGGUCUUGACAAUGCAAGCAUGGUUAUGCUUUAAUUUUAUGUUAUCGAGUCCUGGAGAUACUUAUAACCAAUAAUUUAGCUGUAGUCUAGAGCUAGUGUUAGUUUUCCCAACAAUCUCAGUCAAGCCAUGAUUCUCAAAAGUCAGUGAGUUAUAGAACACUGUACUCUCAGACAGAUACAGAACGUAAAAAAUCUCAGUAUUCUCAGUAAUUUCAGUAUCGCUAGUGUUCUAGCCUCAGUUCAGUACUCAGCUCAAAUCUAGUAGUAUUCAAGUGUUCUGUUUAGUCCUCAGUAAUAUUCGAGUAAUCUAUCCCAAGCUCAGUGUAAUCAGUCAGAUAAUGAGAUUCAGUAGUAUUUCGUCAAAUACGGAACUAAGUGAAUUUAGAUUAACUCAAUUAGUUUAUUCGAGAAAUAUGAUUAGGAUCAAAUUCAGUUCAGUUUAAGUUAAGAAUCAGUUCAGAGUCUUUCAGUUGGAAGUAGAAGCUAGCACCGAGCGAGUGCAAGGAUAUCGGCUUCCCGUUAAAGAGGCAGAGUCAUUAGAAGUAAUCACUGAACUCAAGAAUUGCGUAGCCAGUGCAGGAUGCAGAAGUCACCCGUUAGAAAAUGCUUGUCACCCAUUAGAUAGGCUUAACUAUUAUACUGUCUUAGGCUUGACUUCCUGCGAGGGUCACCCGUUAGAGAGGCUUGAACAGAGAGGUCUUUACUUGUGGCACAGUAUUGACACCCUUCCAGCUGGGGUACAAGUUAGACCCCACCAGUUUAGAUUUGGGAUGCGUUGGUUAAGUGAGCACUCCCACAGUUACAGUUUCGAUAUCAGUCUUCAAAAAAGAACUCAGAAAUUAGGGCUGUCAAAUAUAGUCAUCUAUCUCAGUGAGGAACUUAGAUAGUUCCAUUAAUUUAUGGGGUACCCACUAGAUAGGUAUGGUCCCACAUAAAGUUAUUCAGUAUUAGUGUUAUCAGAUCCAGAGAUCACCCACUAGAUAGUCUUGAUCUCAUAUUCAGUUGAGUAAUCUUAUUAUCAGAUCCAAAGAUCACCCACUAGAAAGGCUUGAUCUUAGUCUCAGAUUCAGUUGAGUAAUCUCAUUAUCAAAUCUAGAGAUCACCCGAUAGAUAGGCUUGAUUUCAAUCUCAGAUUUAAUUAAGUAAUCUCAUUAUCAGAUCUAGAGAUCACCCGCUAUAUAGGCUUGUUCUCAGUCUCAGAUUUAGUGAUUAAUCUCAUUAUUAGAUCUAGAGAUCACCCGUUAGAUAGGCUUGAUCUCAGUCUCAGAUUCAGUUGAGUAAUCUCAUUAUCUGAUUUAGAGAUCUUUUGCUAGAUCUGUUUGAUCUGAGAUAUAAUCUUUUCUUAUUAUUGAUAGUAGAUUCUGGAAUCAUCCAUUAGAGAGGUUUGAUCUCCGAUGCAGUCAGUCGAGAAUAGAAAGAUCAGAAUUUAGUCAUUGAUGUGAUUAGAUUCAGUUAAUUAGGUUUCAUUAUCAUCAGUUUUUGAGAUCACUCGCCAAAUAAGACUGAUUUCAACUCUCGUACUUAGUUAUCUGUAUCAGAUGAUCUAGUGUUUAGUAUCUCAGGCAUUAGUAGUGAGUUUAGAUAUCAGUAAAGCAGUAACCGAGUUUCAGUACUUCGAGUUGCGUUGUUUUUAGUUAUGGUUUGUGCAUUCAUGCAUAUGUCCUUCUUCAGUAUUCUCAUAUUUAUUCAGUUAAGUAAUUGUUCAUGCAUAAACCCUUACAUUUAGCCUUACCUCAUCUUCCUACUUGGUACAUUCCCGUACUGAUGCAUUUGAGCUAUGGUAUUUUAUUUGACACCAUAGGUUUAGAGGCACGAGAUCCAGAGUACUCUUAGCAGCUCAGUCCCAGUCAGCAGCAAUAGACAUAACAGUGAGUCCUCUUCAGUCGAGAAUGAUCUUUUUUUUUAUUAUCGCACAAGACUUAGUUUACUUUCAAUAGACGGAGUUAGUUGGGGACAUGUCCUAUCAACUCCACAGCUCAGACAGUUUAGAGGCUUUUCGGACAGAUGCAUCAGUAUUUGGUUUUCAAUUUUGAGUAUUUUUAGAUGUUUUGAACCUUAUAGCCAAUUUCUAAAUUUAUUAUCUAUAUUAUGCAGUGUUCAGAUACAGAUAUCAGUAGAGGGUUAGCUUGUGGUCCUUCGAGAUUAUGAGCACCGUGUGACAUUUCAGUUCUAGAAAACUGGGUUGUUACAAACUUGGUAUCAGAGCCUAAGGUUCAAUAGUGUCCUAGGGAGUAUGAAAAGCCACAUCUAAUAGAGUCUUGUGCAUGGGUGUGUUGCGUGCCACAUUUAUGUACAAGAGGCUAUAAGAUGUUUUAGGAGCAGUUUCCCAUCUUUCAUUAUUCAUGUCAUGUGAGUGAGCGUGAGCUCAAGUUGAUCCUCAGUCUAAUCCACUUCUUUUUUAUAUUUACAGAGGAUGCCUUCAUGUAGAGAUAAUGCCCAUAGUGUUGAUGACCAGCCACCUCAGCCAGUAGAUCUUGAGAAUGAGAUUAUGUAACAUGCAGAGUUUCGAGCAGUUUUUUAGGCGCUAGCCUAAGCUGUGACAACUAAUAUUUAGAGAAAUUGUCAGGCUAUGGCCCCACCUCAGCAAGAUGAGGGUUCAUCCACAACUAGAAUUAGAGAUUUAAUGAGAAUGAGCCCGCCAAAAUUCUUUUGGUCAGUAGCAGGUGAGGACCCACAGCUUUAUCUAGAGGAGAUGGGGAAGAUUACCCAAAUCAUGCAUAUUUCUAAGGAGGAGAGUGUAGAGUUAGCGUCCUAUAGGCUAAAGAAUAUCGAUCAUAGUUGGGUAGUGAUGUGGAAGAAGGGUAAAGGGGAGGAUGCAACUCUCGUGACUUGGCAAGAGUUUCAGGAUUCCUUUCUAGAUAAGUUUUUCCCACUAGAGAUGAGAGAAGAUAAGGUAAAAAAGUUCAUGAACCUAAGGCAAGGAUCCAUGACAGUGAAAGAGUAUCGUCUUAAGUUCAACUAGUUAGCUAAGUAAGCUCCAGACUUGAUAGCUAACCCUAGAGCUAGUAUGAGUAAGUUUAUGACUGGUGUAUUUAGGUUAGUGUUGAAGGAGUGUAGGGUUAUCAUGCUCAAUAGAGAUAUACACCUUGCUAGAUUGAUGAUGCACGCGCAGUAGAUUGAGGAAGAUAAGAUGAAAGAAAGAGAGAGAGUGAGUAAGAAAGCCAGAGUAAGUAGUCAUAGUUUCUCUCAGGCAGGGUCCCAGGGUGGUAGCUGUCCUCAGCAUAGCCAGAGAUUUUCAGUCCCCGAUCCAUCCUUAGCUAGUGUACCUGCACCAGAGUUCGAGGAUGUCAGUCAUGAUGGGGCGCCAUACCCCAAAGCCCAGAGUAGUACUAUGGUGUUCAUACCUAUCCGCUUUGUGGAAAGUAUGGCAAGAGCCACCUAGGCGUGUGUAGAGCCGGUAGUGAUGUGUGAUUUGGGUGUGGUAAUCUAGGCAAUAGAAUGUAAAAAUAUAGAGUGCUAGCUCAGAGGGGUAGAGAGUUUCAUUAGCAGAGUGCCCUUUCUGGUGCCAAUAGUGGUCAGCAUCAGAACAGACUUCAAGCACUUCAGACCUACCAUGAUCAGGAAAGAUUCCCUGAUAUAGAUUUGAGUAUGUUAUGAGUCCUUCAUCUUUAUGAUAUGCAUUGUUAGAUCCUUCGCUCUAUUUUGAGCUUAUAUGUCAGCAUGAGUCAUGCAUUAGUUUUAGAUCUCAGUCGGUCAAUCAUGACCCGGUUCGUAGGUGCCCUCGUGCACCACCCAGUAUUUUAACGAAGUAUUUGUAGAGGGACAUAGAUUCCCAAGAGGGAGAUACCCCAUGAUAUUGUGAAACUUUCAUGUCCUUAGACUCAUUCAUUUGCAUGUUUAGACUCUCCUUACAAAGUUAACAUCAGUUGUAUAGCCAAUCAUGCUUUCGAGAGUCAGUUCAGUCAGACAUUCAUGCAUUAGAUAUGCAUGUUCAGUAGAAAGAGUUCAACUUUUCAGUGUGUUCAGUAUGCAUUCAUGAGAUCAACUCAGUUGUGAGUCCAUCCAUCAGAUAUGCAUGUCUAUUAUGAGAAUUCAUCUUAUGAGUAGCUUCAGUCAGUAUUCCAUACAUCAGAUAUGCAUGUCCAGUGUGAGAGCUUAGUAUGUCAGUAGUUUCAGUUGUAUGAUCAUAUUUUAGAUGCUUCCGUUCCUUGAGUAAGUUCAGUUGAUCAGUAUUCUUAGCCUAUCGAGUGACAUUCAAGGACGAAUGUUUCCAAGGAGGAGAUAUUUUAAGACCCCACAAAAUUCUCUCAUAGUCUAAGCCUUAGAGUGUGUCAAGUGAAGCAUAAAUUUGGCCUUAAAAGGUUGAGAAAUGUCUUCCCAAGUGAGAAAUAUUUUGAACCAUGUAGAAUUUCUCUAAUAUAAACUUUUUUUCAUGUAUAGAAUUGAAUAAGCUUUCCAUCGAUACCAAUUUCAUCAAAAUAUGACAUCGGACGAGAAAUUUAUGACCAUUUUACUGAAAGCAGUUGGAACUGCCCAGGUACGACAGCCGGGUUGACGGACAGUCGAGCUUGUGACGGACCGUCGCAACUAAGGCAGUGACUCUCUUUUUUAGCCCAAGUGCAACGGCAAAGAUGAAGGACCAUCGACGCUGCGACAGACCAUCACGCUGAGGCAGUGUGACCUCAUCCUGGCCAAUGUGCGACGGACGGUCCGACGAAUCAUCGGGUUUACGAUGGACCAUUGCUGAGACUGUCGUAUCAAGGAAGUGUAUUAUUUUUCUAAUAUAUAUACGAUGGAUGAUCCGAUGGACUGUCAAGCUGAGCGACGGACCGUUACUUUGACCGUCGCAGACCCUAUUCAAUAUCUUUAACUUGAUUUUAAAAGGGUUUUUGGGUCUUUUUCCCACUCUUUUAAGCCCCUAUUUAUAUCCGAUCAAGGCUCACAAUUUCCUUCUUCAUCUUUAACAUAAAAAACUAGGGUUUCUACAAAAUCAAAAACCUUCUUUCUUCUUCAAGAAAAAUUAAGAGAAAUCAAGAAUCUCUCCAAGAGCCUUCAAGAAAGAGUUUCCUAACGUAUGUAGAUGUUGAUUCUUGGGUCCCUUUCAUCCAAGAAGUUCUAGAACCCUUUUCAAAAAUUAUAUUUAUGGGUUUCAUGAUUCAUAUGAGUUGAAAUUGAUGUUCAUGCUAUUAUUUAGUUUUGAUUUAUGUUUGUUUGCAAGGUUUUCAAGCUUUGACCCUAGUAUGUGAUAUUCAUGAUAAAACCUCUUCAAGUUGCUUGUUAAGUGAUGUGUUCAUGUCAAUUAAGUGAAGAAAUUGUUGAAUAAGGAAAUCAUGCUCCCCAUAUGUUUGAUAAAAUGCUUAUGUGAAGGAAUUAGAGCCAUUAUAGCAUAUUGACUAGAAAUCCCCAAUUGUGUACAAGCCCAUGCAUGCCAAGUGUUUGUUGAAAAGUCUUAGUGAAUGAAUUGUGACAUGAUAGCAUGAAAUUCCCCAAUUAUGUGCUCUUUGAUACAUGCUAAGACUUUAAUACAUGCUAAGUGUUUGAUGCAAGACCUUGUUGAAUGGAGUAUGAGCCAAUAGCAUGUCUCCCUACACUACCACAUGUUUAUGAUUCCUAAAUGUUUGAAGAGAUGCUGCAGUGAUUGUGAUGGUGAAUGAAUGUCCAUGGUCUUGAUAAUGCAAGCAUGGUUAUGCUUCACUUUUAUGUUAUCGAGUCCUGGUGGUACUUAUACCCAAUAAUUUAGCUGCAGUCUAGAGCCAGUGUCAAUUUUUCCGAUAAUAUCAGUCAAGCCAUGAUUCUCAGAAUUCAGUGAGUUAUAGAAUGCUGUACUCUCAUAUAGAUAUAGAAUGUAAGAAAUCUCAGUAUUCUCAGUAAUCUCAGUAUCGCUAGUGUUUUAGCAUCAGUUCAGUACUCAGCUCAGAUCUAGUAGUAUUCAAGUGUUCGUUCAAUCCUCAGUGGUAUUCGAAUAAUCUAUUCAGAGCUCGGUGUCAUCAGUUAGAUAACGAGAUUCAGUAGUUUUCCAUCAGAUAUAGAACCAAGUGAAUUCAAAUUAACUCAAUCAGAUUAUUUGAGAAAUAUGAUCAGUAUUAGAUUCAGUUCAGUUUAAGUUAAGAAUCAGUUCAGAGUCUUUCAGUUGAGAGUAGGAGCUAGCACCAAACGAGUGCAGGGAUGGCGGUUCCCCGUUAGAGAGUCAGAGUCGUUAGGAGCAAUCCUUGAACUCCAAAAUUGCAUAGCCAGCGCAGGAUGCAGGAGUCACCCGUUAGAAAAGGCUUGUCACCCGUUAGAUAGGCUUGACUAUUAUACUACCUUAGGCUUGACUUCCUACGAGGGUCACCCAUUAGAGAGGCUUGAAUAGAGAGGUAUUUACCCGUGGCAUGGUAUAGAUACCCUUCCAGCUGGGGUUAUAGGUUGGACCCCACUAGUUCAAAUUUGGUGCAUGUCAGUUAAGUAAGCACUCCUACAAUUACAGUUUUGGUAUCAGUCUUCAGAAAAGAAUUCAGAAACAGGGCUAUCAGAUAAAGUCAUCUAUCUUAGUGAGGAACUCAGAUAGUUCCAUUGAUUCAUAGGCCACCCACUAGAUAGGCAUGGUCCUACAUAAAGUUAUUCAGUAUCAGUGUUAUCAGAUCCAGAAUCACCCGCUAGAUAGGCUUGAUCUCAUAUUCAGUUGAGUAAUCUCAUUAUCAGAUCCAGAGAUCACCUACUAGAAAGGCUUGAUCUCAAUCUCAGAUUUAGUUAAGUAAUCUUAUUAUUAGAUCCAGAGAUCACCCACUAGAUAGGCUUGAUCUCAGUCUCAAAUUCAGUUGAGUAAUCUUAUUAUCAGAUACAGAGAUCACCCGCUAGAUAGGCUUGAUCUCAGUCUCAGAUUUAGUUGAGUAAUCUUAUUAUCAGAUCUAGAGAUUACCCACUAGAUAGGCUUGAUAUCAGUCUCAGAUUUAGUUGAGUAAUCUUAUUAUCAGAUUUAGAGAUCUUCCGCUAGAUAAGUUUGAUCUUAGAUAUAAUCUUUUUUUAUUAUUGAUAGUAGAUUCCAAAAUCAUCCGUUAGAGAGGUUUGAUCUCCGAUGCAGAUAGUUAAGAGUAGAAAUCUCAGACUUCAGUCAUUGAUAUGAGUUGAUUCAGUUAAUCAGUUUCAGCAUCAUCAGUUUUUGAGAUCACUAGCCAGAUAAGACUGAUUUUAACUUUAGUACUCAGUUAUCAGUAUCAGAUGAUCCAGUGUUCAGUAUCUCAGGCCUUAGUAGUGAGUUUAGAUGUUAGUAAAGCAGUAUUCGAGUUUCAGUACUUCGAGUUGCAUUGUUUUCAGUUAUGGCUUGUGCAUUCAUGCAUAUGUCCUUAUUCAGUAUUCCCAUGAUUAUUCAGUUAAGUAAUUGUUUAUGCAUAAGCCCUUACAUUUAGCCUUACCUCAUCUUCAUACUCGGUACAUUCCCGUACUGACGCAUUUGCGCUAUGGUAUUUUAUUUGACACUAUAGGUUCAGAGGUAUGAGAUCCAGAGUACCCUUAGCAGCUCAGUCCCAGACAGCAGCAGUAGACAUAGCAGUGAGUCCUCUUCAGUUGAGGAUGAUCCUUUUUUUAUUAUCGCAUCAGACUUAGUUUACUUUUAGUAGGUGAAGUUAGUUGGGGAUAUGUCCCAUCAAUUCCACAGCUCAAAUAGUUUAGAGGCUUUUCGGACAGAUGUAUCAGUAUUUAUUUUUCAAUUUUGAGUAUUUUUAGAUGUUUUGAACCUUAUGGCUAGUUUCCGUAUUUAUUAUCUAUAUUAUGCAGUGUUCAGGUACUGAUAUCAGUAGAGGGUUAGCUUAUGGUCCUUUGGGAUCAUGAGCAUCGUGUGAUAUUUUAGUUCUAGAAAAUCAGGUCGUUACACCAACUCUAAAAGCAUUAUAAUACACAAAAAAUCCACCUGAACCACUGGGUAAAGUCAAAACUGAGUCUGUAGUGAGCCGAGUCUUCAACUCCUAAAAACUCUUCUCAUAAGAAUCUGACCACUGGAAUUUGACUUUCUCUUGAGUUAAUCUGGACAUGGGGGAUGUAAUAGAAAAAAUUCUUUCAACAAAUCACCGGUAAUAGACAGCCAAACCCAAGAAACUCCUGAUAAUGAAGGAGAGAUGGGUUUGUGCCAAUUUCUUACUACUUCAAUCUUUUGAAGAUGAACUCUAAUUCCAUCACCGAAAAUGAUAUGACCAAGAAAAGCUACUGACCUUAGCCAAAAUUCACAUUUACUGAAUUGAGCAAACUACCGAUAGGCUCUGAGGGUUUGUAAUACUAUUUUGAGAUGGUCUGCAUAAUCACUUUCACUGCGGGAGUAGACAAGAAUGUCAUCUAUGAAGACUACGAUGAACAUGUCCAAGUACUGUUUAAACACGCAGUUUAUCAAGUCAAUGAAAGCUGUUGGGGCAUUGGUAAAACCAAAUUGCAUGACUAGAAAUUCGAAGUGACCAUAGUGAGUUUUGAAAGGUAUUUUUGGAAUAUCACAUUCUCUGACUCUGAGCUUAUAAUAGCUGAGGUCUAUCUUAGAAAACUAAUUGACACCCUGAAGUUGGUCAAACAAGUCAUCGAUUUCUAGGAAGUGGGUACUUAUUCUUGACUGUGACUUUGUUCAACUGAUGAUAGUCUAUACACAUUCUAAGAGAAUCGUCUUUCUUUCACACGAAUUGAACUGGUGCGCCCCACGGGGAAAUACAGGGCCUGAUGAAUCCCUUAUCUAGAAGGUAUUUCAAUUGUUUUUUAACUCUUUGGGUUUAGCUGGAGCUAUUCUGUAUAAUGGAAUAGAGAUGGGCUGAGUAUUAGGAAGAAAGUCUAUUCCGAAGUUAAUUUUCCUUUCGGGAGGAACUUCGGGAAGAUAUUUGGGAAGCACAUCUAGAAAUUUACUUGGUUAUGAAACUAACUCAAGAUUAGGAGUCUUGAAACUAGAAUCUUUAACUCAAACGAGAUGAUAGACACACCCCUUGGAUAUCAUUUUUCUCACUCUAAGGUAUGAAACAAGUUGUCCCUUAAGUACUAGAGUAUUACCCCUCUAUUCUAGGAUAGGUUCAUCCGAGAAUUAAAAAUGGACAACUCUUUUUCUACAGUCAACCAAAGUAUAACAUGAAUGAAGCCAAUCCAUGUCAAGAAUAACGUCAAAAUCCAUCAUAUCUAACUCUACUAAGUUUGCUGAAGUAACUUUUUGAGACACCAUAACUGGAUAGUUCCUGUAUACUCAUCGGGCUAUGAUAGAUUUACCCACUGAGGUAGAGACUAAGAAGGGCACUGCUAGGAUUUUAGGAUUGACUCCGAAGUCAACAUCUAUAUAAGGAGUUAUAAAGGACAAAAAACACUUGGAUCUAGUAAAGUAUAAAUAUGUAAAUAGUAAACUUGUAACAUACCAGUGACCACAUCAGGAGAACUUUCUUAAUCUUUUCGGGGCUGAAGUAUAUAGAGCCUAUUUGGACAAUGCCUACUGGUGGCACUGGAAGUGGUACCCUGCUGAGAUAGGUAAUUGAACUGAGCUGGGGAAAGAUUAUGCUGACUCUGUGAACCCACCUGAGGAUAGUCUCUAAUUUUAUGACCUGGUUUACCACACCCAAAACAUACAUCACUGCCAGCCCUGUAGAUACCCUAAUGGUUUCUGCCACACUUCUGACAAAGAAAAAGAAAAUUUAUUCGGGCACUGCUAACACUACCCUAACAUUUAGAGCCUGGUGCCCUAUCCUUAUUACUAUUUUUGAAUUUAGGCACCGGAGCAAUGGCUGAGGACGGAGUUGGGACUGAAGAUUUUGGACGAAACUGAGGACAAUUACCAUCCUCUGACUUAGGCUGAGUGAAGUUGAAGCUACUUAUUUUAGCCCUCUUACUCUCUCCCUCUUACUCUCCCCCCUUUCUCCUUAGUUUUCUGCUCCUCUAUCUGUUGAGCACGACCAUCAACCUAGCCAAUUCCAUCUCCUUAAUCAGUAUUGUGGUCCUACACUCCUUGACCACACUGUCAGACACCCCAGACACAAACUUACUUAUUUUAGAUCUGCUAUCUGCUACCACAUGAGAGCAUAUCUGGCUAACUGAGUAAACUUGAGUGAAUACUCCUUCACUAUCAUGCUUCCCUACUUCAAGUUAAUGAACUCUAAAACCUUGGCUUCCUUCAAUUCUAACAGAAAGAACCUAUCUAAGAAAGCAGUAACAAACUCUUUACAUUCUAUAGGCCCUGCAUCUGCGCCCCUUUCUACCUUCCAUUGCUUAAACCAUGUAUGAGCCAUCUACUGCAACUGAUAGGUAGCUAACUCAGCACUCUCACUAGUGGUUACCUCCAUGAUAUCUGUUAUCUUCUGAACCAUGUCAAAAAAUUCCUGUAGGUCCUCCUCAGACUUAGACCCUGAGAAUAAAGGAGGGUUCAUUCGAGUGAAGUCCUGAAUUCUAGCUGCAACAGUAUUGGCCACUAGGUUGGCCUCAAUAGGAGUUGGGCAUUCAUUCUAGGCUGCAACAGAAUGAGCUAGAGUUGUGAAAGGUGCUCUGAAUUCUUUGUGAGAAACAUGCUUAUACAGGGGAUCUGCCUGAACGGGCAGAGAUGCUAGCUGGUUUCCAAUUCUUCUUUUAUUGGUUUCUUUGGAAGCCAUGUUCUAUAAACAGAAGGGAAAAUUAGAUCAGACAAAGAGUUUAACUUGAGCUCACGCUCACUCACACGACAUGAAUAAUGAAAGAAGGAAAACUUUUUCCUAAAAAUGUAUCAUAGCCUCUUGUCUGUAAGUGUAGCGCGCUACACACCCAUGCGCAAGACUUUACUUGACGCAGCUUUCAGACUCCCUAGGACACUAUAGAACCUGUCUCUAAUACCAAGUUUAUAAUGCCCCACUACUGCUCCCUGGGCAUCACACGAUGCUUAUGACUUCAAAGGACCACAAGCUAACCCAUGACUGGUACCUACUGUGAUCACUGAAUAAUAUUCAUGAAAUAUACGCGGAAGUAAAACUGAAAAGGCCAUAAGGUUCAUAAUAUUGAAUCAAAACUGAAUACAACUUUAGAAUAACUACUACCUGAUAAUGUCUGAAAAGCCUCUAACAUCUGAAAUAAAAGAGUUGACGGGACAAGCCCCAACUAACUCACAACUACUGUCUGAAAUAACUAAAAUACUGAAAUACUAUAAUGGCUAAAUAAAUAUCGCGUCCUCAAUGAAUAAGGAUUCACUACUGUAGCUGCUAAGUACGGUCAGGAACUCGAGCAUCCAAACCUAUGAUAUGAGACAUCAUAGCACAAAGAGAGAGUAUACGUCAGUACGUGAAAUAUACUGGUCUGCUAUAUGAGGUAAGGCUAACAUGCACGGGCUCAUAAGUAUGAACAGUAAUUGACUGAAUGAUAUGAAGUAACUGAAUGAGAGUAUAUAGAGAGUUGAAAUUGCUAUAAUCACUAAGUAUGAAAUACUAUGCAUAUACAUAUAUACAUGUUGUGUAUCUAAGAUUAUACUGUAACUGAAUACUGAUGUUCUGUUGGCUGUAUAACUGAUAUUCGAAUGACUGAUAACUAAAAACCAUGGUUCUGUAGAUCUAGACUGAGUUCUAUACUGAAGACAGAAACUGAGACUAUGGGAGUGUUCAUUUAACCGACAUACCCUAAUGUAAACUGAUUUGGGGUCCAACCUAUGACCCUAGUUGUAAAAGUGUUAGGACCUUGCCACGAGAUAGUAACAAUGCUAUGUCAACCCUAGUCUGGCAGGAAGACUCAUGAAAUAUAAUAUGAUUGCAUCAACCCUAUUCUGGCAGGAGGAUGACUUACCCUACGAUGGCUACAUAGUUCUGUAAUGCAGGGACUGCUACUAGGGGUCAAACCCUCUACUGGCAUGAAUGCCCCUAUCCCUGGGUUCGUUCAGUGCUGAAUCCUACUCCCAACUGAAUAGACACUGAUCACUAGAUUGUACUAAACUUGACUGAACUGACACUGAUCGUGUUAACUAACUGAACUGGACUGAGUUCACUGAGUUCUAUUAUUGAUUGCGUACUACUGUUCUUGACCUUUACUGGGUCUAUUCUAUUUCUAUAAGACUAAGUAAACAACUAGAUUUUGGGUAAUAAAUACCCCCAGGACUCGAUAGCAUAAUUGGUAAAACAUAGCCAAUCAUUAAAUCAUAGCAAUAGUCGAUUGUUCACAAUUCAUUCACUGAGGUAAUUUGUCAAACACGUGAAAGUCAUGAACUUGUACAUGAAUGAGAACAUAUGAUAACAUGUCAUAAAUACACUAUUCAUAUCACAUGGACAUUCUAUCAAACAUGUGGGAAGCAUAAUUAAUGCACAUGACAAUGAACAACACAUAAACAUCAAGACUACAACUUAAACUUGCAAUUUCAAGGGUUUUUACAUGGGAAUUACAUCAAUCAACAUACAUGUUAACUUAUGUUCAUGAAACAUAUAAUUAAAUCUUGAAUUGAAACCCAUACAACAACACAAAAAUGAAUACACUCCAAUUUGAACAUGUAAAUCAUAAAUUUCAUUACUUGUAGUUUUGAAAAGGGUUUUUGAACUCCAAGGGUGAAUGGAAACCCCAGGAUGAACACCUAACAUACCUUGAUUUGUGAAUUUGGGAAGAUUGAUGGUGAAUUCUUGAGAUUUGAUCUUGAAUUGUGGAGGCUAGGGUUUUUGUUCUUUAAAAAGAGCUAUUUUAAUUUGAGUAAUUUGUGAAAUAAUGAGCAAUUAGAGCUCUUUUAGGGCUUAAUUCCGUGUUUUCACUGACUGGGGUGAGGUAAAAGGACUUAAAAGCCCUUGGAAUUUAAAACUCAGAACUGACUAGAAAUCCCAAUUUUGACACCUGGCACAAUGCAGUACAAUUGCGUCGGGCCACUGGAAAGCUAAAAACUGUGAACUGGAAACUUGGCAUGACGCGGCGCAAUCGCGAUGCCUCGUUGAACGCGAAUUUGGCCCUUGGAGCGACGCGAUGAAAUCGCAUUGGGUUCACUGGAAAAGGACGAACCCCAAAUAAUACAUCUGCGCGAUGUGGUGAUAUCGCGAUGGCACACUAGAAAAUGAUGAAUGCCAUUUUAACCCUCACCGUGAUGCGAUGCUGUUCAUUUUGGCACACUACUUCACUAAAAGUGCUAUAACUUCUCAUCCGAGUACCGGAUUUAGACAUAAUUGGUCUCAUUGGAAAGAUAAUUUAAUUUCUAGAGUUUGGCGAGUCUUGAGCUGGAAAAUUCUGAGUAGAGCAAAAGUUAUGCUUAUUUGAAGUUGACUAAAGCAACAUUCUUGUCGAAAACUCAAUCGGUAUAAGAUAUUUUGAUUCAUCAAAUAAAUGGGAGUCAUUUGGGACCUUAAUAUGCAUCAAACUAACUCAUAAAGCUACCAAAGAAUCAUAAUGUACCACACUUGAGCUUGAAACAUGACUCUAGCAUGGGUUUGGAUUUUUGGGGUUUUACAUAAAUCGUAUCACUCCCUUCAUUAGAAACACCUUUUGGAAUACCUUAUCCCCAACCUCAAACUCCAAGUCUCUACGCCUUACAUUUAUAUAAGACUUUGGGAGACUUUGGGCAGCCUUAAGCCUAUCCUGAAUCACCUUUACCUUUACCAUAGCCUAAUAAACCAAAUCUGAGCCAAGCAUAUUCGUCUCUCCAAGAUCAACCACCCAAUAAGAGAUCUAUACCUCCUAUUAUACAAUGCCUCAAAAUGGGUCAUCCCAAUAUUAGAACGAUAGCUAUUAUUGUAAGCAAAUUGUACAAGAGGUCGAUGCUCAACCCAAUUUCCACCACAAUCAAUCACAAUGCAUGAAUCAUAUCCUUCAACGUCUGAAUAGUUCUUUCUGCUUGUCCAUCCAUCUACGGAUGGAAAGUAGUACUAAGACUAACCUUAGUCCCCAACCCUUUCUAGAAAGACCGCCAGAAGUGAGAUGAAAACUGCAUACUGCGAUCAGAGUUAAUCGAAACAGGUAUCCCAUGCAGCUUCACAAUCUCAUGAAGAUACAACCUUGUAUAAUCCUCAGCCAAAAAAUUAGUCCACACUGGUAAGAAGUGAGCCGACUUUGUCUUCCUAUCCAUGGUGACUCAAAUUGAAUCAAAUUGAUUUCGAGACCGAGAAAACCCAUAACGAAAUCCAUAUUGAUCACCUCUCAUUUCUAUUCCAACAAUUCAAUUUCCCGGUACAAACCCCCAGGCCUCACACACUUUACUUUCACUUGUUGACACACCAUACAUUUGGCCAAAAAUUUGUCACAUCCCUUUUCAUACCAUUCCACCAAUACAUCCCCUUGAGAUCAUGAUACAUUUUCGUCGAAUCGGGAUGCACAACAUAGCGCUAUUUAUCCACCUCAUCCAAUAUACUUUUACGCAACCCAUAGACAUCGGGAACACAUAACUUUCCUUGGUACUACAAGGUACCAUCACCACUGAUCUUAAAUACCAUUACCUUUUGCCCACCUACCUUACUCUUGAUCUUUAUCAAGAUAGGAUCCAACAUUUGCUUCUCCUUGAUUAGCUAUCUUCCUGUACCAACACACACCAUCUUCGGAGUCCAAAAGACGAACUCUAAGAUUAGCCAAGCAGAGAAUAUCCUUCACCAAUUCCUAUUUUUCCUUAUCCACAUGAGCUAAACUCCCCAUGGACAACCUACUAAAAGCAUAAAAAAUUAUCAGCCUUACCUGGAUGGUAGUGAAGGCUCAUAUCAUAGUCCUUGAGAAGCUCAAGCCAUCUCCUUUUCCUGAGAUUAAGCUCUUUCUGAGUGAACAUAUAUUGUAGAAUUUUAUGAUUCGAAAAUAUGCCCACAUGCACUCCAUACAAAUAAUUCCGUCAUAUAUUCAACACAAAUACCACCGCUAAUAGCUCCACAUCAUGAGUAGGAUAAUUUCUCUCAUGCACGUUCAACAACCUAGAAGCGUAAGAAAUCACCUUCCCAUGCUGCAUCAAAACGCAACCAAGUCCCACCCGAAAAGCAUCACAAUAAACCACAAACCCCUUAUUGCCUUCAGGCAAAGUCAAAACCGGAUUUGAAGUUAACUUAUCCAUCAACUUCUCGAAACUACCCUCAUAAGCAUCCCACUAAGAGAACUUUACUUUCUUCUAAGUCAACUUAGUCAAAAGGGGAAGCUAUCAUCGAAAAGCUCUCCACAAACCUCCUAUAAUACCCGACCAAACCCAAGAAGCUUUGAAUAUCAAUUGGAGUCAUGGGUAUAGGCCACCUCUUCACCACGGCAACCUUUUGUGGAUCCACCAUGAUCCCUUCACUAGAAAUAAUAUGACCUAGACAAGUGAUAACGUUCAACCAAAACUCACAUUUAAGAGAAUUUGACAUACAACUACUGCUCUUUUAAGGUCUACAACAUAACUUAGAGGUGAUUGACAUAAUCCACCUCACUCUUAGAAUACAACAGAAUGUCAUCAAUAAACCCAAUGACAAAGAAAUCCAUAAACUGAUGAAAAACCCUAUUCAUCAAAUCCAAGAAUGCCGCUGGGUAUAAGUCAACCCAAAUAACAUCACCAAGAACUUAAAAUACCUAUACCAGGUACAAAAAGUUGUCUUAGGGAUAUACACCUUCCUAAUCUUAAGCUGAUGAUACCCCAACUGAAGGUCUAUCUUAGAAAAGAAUUUGGCACCCCACAACUGAUCAAACAAGUCAUCUAUCCUUAGAAGAGGAUACUUGUUCUUAACCGUCACCUUAUUCAACUACCGAUAGUCAAUGCAUAUCUAAAGUGAACCAUUCUUCUUAUGAACAAAUAACACUUUUGCACCCCAUGGGGAUACAUUAGGACAGAUGAAACCCUUAUCCAAAAGAUCCUUAAACUGCUCCUUGAGUUCUCUCAACUUAGUCGGAGCCAUUUCAUAAGGAGGAAUAGAUGUUAGAAGAGGGUCUGGAACCAAAUCAAUACCGAACUCAAUCUCCCUAUACGGAGAAACACCAGGAAGAUUAUUCAAAAAGACCUCAGGAAACUUAUUCACCAUUGGACUCGAAAGUAAGAAAGGACCUUACGUGUUAGAAUCUUUAACUCGGACUAGAUGAUAGAGACACCCUUUGGAGAUUAAUCUCCAAGCUCUAAGGUAUGAUAUAAACCUCCCCUUAGAAGCUAGGGAACCACCCUCCCAUUUAAUAACUGGUUAACCAGGAACCUAAAGACAACCUUACGGACCCGACAAUCUAAGGAUGCUAAGCACGAGUGUAACCAAUCCAUCCCCAGAUUAAAAUCAAAAUCCACCAUAUCUAAUUCAAAUAAAUCCACCAAAGUCUCCUUACUACCAACAGAUACCACACACCCCUUAUAGACUCUUUUAGCAACCAUAGAGUCACCUACUGAGUAGAAACAAAAAAAGGAUCCGAAAUAACCUUAAGACUAAAACCAAAAUACACAACCAUGAAUGGAGUCACAUAAGAGAGAUAAGACCCAGAUCAAGUAAAUAAUAAAUAUCUCAUGAGAAGAGUUUCAACAUACCCGUAACAACAUCAGGAAAUACCUCAGACUCCUGGCGAGUAGUGAGAGCAUAUAGCUAAUUUUGGCCUAUACCAACUCUAGAAGCAGAAACAGAUACAGAAGCAACACCCUUUUAUGCAAGAGUAGAUGAAGAGAAAACCGGAACCUUAUUCGCUCCCGAAGCACCCUUAUCUUCUGAGAAUAUGGCUUGACUGACCAUAUUUGAAACACUUGUCCCUUAUUUCAUCACAAAAUCCUCGAUGCAACCAACCACAAAACCUACAAGGAGGACAAGAUAAAACCGAUUGGGCACCCUGUGCCCUGAAGUUAUCGUAAUUCUGCUGAUGUCUAUCACCCGAUUGCUUCAGGUAGGGAGGACUAGCUGUGGAGAAAGAACCAGAACUCCCCCACUUCUUCUUCGGCCAAUUGUCGCCAUCCCUACCGCCUUGUUAUUGACCACCCUAUUCAGGGAACCUGAAUUUUUUAACCUGUCUUUCCCCUAUCUUAGUCUGUUUUUUCUUUUCAUCCUCUACCUAUUGCAUAUGAACAACCAACCUAGAAAUAUCCAUGUCCUUGAUCAGUAAUGCAGUCUUGCUUUCAAGGAUCAAAUCCUGAGAUAAUCCUAAAGCAAAAUUUCUCAUCUUGGCCCUCAUAUCAGAAACCAAUUUAAAAGCAUACCUAGAUAGCUGGUGAAAUUUCAAGGCAUACUCCUUGAUCGACAUCUUCCCCUAUUUUAGAUUAACGAAUUCCUUUUCUUACGUUUUUCCCAACUCCUAAGGAAAGAAGCGGUCCAUAAAAGCAUUGGAGAAAGUCUCCCACAAGGAUGAAUCAUUAACCUCUCCUCUUGUCUGAUCCCAUUUUUUGUGCCAUUGGUAUGCCACAUCCUUUAGAUGAUAAGUGGCAAAAUUCACUCCUUCCACAUUCAUGGCCUGCAUCACCCUGAAGAUCUUUUCCAUCUCAUCCAAAAACUCCUAAGGAUCCUCCUCUACCUUAAUACUAGUAAAAGUUGAAGGAUUCAGCCUCAUAAACUGGCCAAACCUUGUGGCAUCAGAAGAUGGAAUACUACAUGCAUCACGCUCAGCUUGAGAAGCUACCAACUGAGUAAUCCUAUGAAUAGACUGACAAAACUCCACAUUCAUCAUAUUAGCCCGAGGAGGUCUAGAAGGAUCUGAUGGGACUCUAAAAAUAUCAGGAACUGGACCCCUAGAUCGAGUAUGGAUCCCAUGAGAACAGCGUGUCCCAACUAUAUCAUCCCCACAGAAGAGUUUUCGUGAGCUUCAGAUCAUCGAGGCAUGAUCUGAAAGAUAACCAAACAAAAAUUAGAAAAAUCCAAGACCUUAGACUUCAAGCUUGAAAAUAGAAGAAAGAGAAACAGUUCCUAAUUGCCUUUUAUCCUCUCCCUUAUGAGUGUGGCACGCUACACACCCUUCAAAAAAACUCUACUAGACACGACUUUGUGGACUCCCUAGUUGACCAUGAACCUAAUGCUCUGAUAUUAACUUUACACAACCCAAAUCGAGGCCUUGUUGUAAUAGGCAUCCCAAGUCUAACCCGAACUGGGGACCACCCCUAAUACCCAACCUAACCAUCCGAGUGCAUACCUUAUGUCGACUGAAUUCUAAACAUAUAACAAGAUAGCGUAUCUGUGCAAAUCCAAACUCUGGGAUAGGUCUAUGACCAUGACUAACCCAAACGAGUCUAACUAUCCAAACCCAUUCGAUAACUAAACCAAACCAAACCAUAAACCAAUUCAUGCACCUCAUAUCGAGUGAGUUUUAUUGUAAACGUAUAUAUAUAAUCCAAAACAUACAAGGAUGGAAAACCAAUAAUAACGUCCAAUGGCAUCAGCCCCAAUACCAAUGCCAAGACUAAGUUUGACACCAAUACCAACACUGCCAUACCAAUCCAUAGUAGUUUCACAAAGCCUCUAACCGAAAGAAAAAUAAUAUCCGAUUGGAACAUGCCUCCAACCAUAGCCAAAACCAUUGUCUAUAAAAUAACCAAAGUAAGUAAAGACAUCCGUGAUAUGAAAUGGUGCCUUCUGGAAUAAGGAAGCUCACCACUUUAAUCCAACCAACCUGAUCUCAAGAUUCAAUCACUAUGCAUGAGGAGUAGAAUAGCACAUUCCUACAUCGAGUGGGGAUAUCGCUGCUCGAAGACAGGUUAGCGGGUGAACGCUAGCAAACACUCAGGAUAAGUAUAAAAUAAUGCCAACCAGUAAAACCAAGUAAACCAACCAUGUGCAUUCACAACCAUACAUAUGUAUAUAUAACCAUGCCAAAAAAGGAAACCAGGUUUAGCAUGUAUUUAAAACCAUUAACCUGGAUAUGUGUAGUUUAACUGUCCUAGAGCCACCCACAGACUAUAUGUGUCCAGUGUAACCCCCUAAAUGGGCUCGAUGUGUGUAGCCGAAUGAACCCGAGAUACCACAAAAGUAGGGAAUUCCCAAGUACCCUUCGCUCUCCAUGAUACAUCUUUAAUCUAUAUCUAUAUCUAUAAUCUAUAAUCUAUAAUCUAUAAUCUAUAAUCUAUAAUCUAUAAUCUAUAAUCUAUAAUCUAUAUCUAUAAUAUAUUAAAAGUGUGAAGGCCCUUACAAAAGUGAUUUGAACUUUUUGUCCUUCAUUAAAAGUCUUUGUAACAGACAAAAGUGUCUUUUCACUUUGAAAUUAAUUAAAAUUAUUGAUAUUAAAUUUUUCCAUAUAUGAAAAAUAUAAGAAUAUAAGAAAUCUUAAUAUUUAAGACUUUGAAAUUAAAUAAAAUUGUAUUUAUUAAAUCUUUCCAUGUUUGAGUUAAAGUACUUUUAAAAUAUUUGAAAAGAGGUUUCUAAAAAUAUUUGUUUAUGAAAGGUAAAAUUUGAAAACGAUCGUGCUUCUUUUAUUUUCUUUCUAAAAAUAAAAAUAAAAAUUUAAAAUAAUGUAGUAUUAAGUAAAAUAUCAAUUAUAAGAACCUUCAACUUAAAAGGUAAAUCUCUAUAUAAAAGGUAAUAAAAGUACGAAAGUUUGAAAUAUUUUCUGUCGGUGUUUUUUUAUUUUUUGUUUAAUAACAUAUUUUUUUAUUUUUGGUAGAAAGAAUAUAAAUAGAGUUUUAAUUAAAUAUUAUCUCUGAAUUUUAGUGUCUAAAUAUAAGAUGGUUGCUAAUUAGAAAGAAUAUAAAUUGAGUUCUAAUUAAAUACUAUUUUGAAUUUUCGUCUCUAAAUAUAAGAUCGAUUGCUAAUUCUUUGUGCUUAAUUUUGUUGUUUAAUAUAGUUGUUUAAUGUUUUUUAUAUUUUUAUAUUCUUAUAUGUUACUUUUUAGUCUAUUUUAUGUUUUUUCCAACCUUUGUUGAUGGCUUGGGAGAAAAUAAAGAUGAAUAAUUUGAUGUUAGAUUUGUUUUUAAAAUUUGUGUUAAUUAUUGUCCUUGUUGUGUAGUUUUCAUGCCGAAACAUUGAUUGGAUCUACAAUUGAAAUUGAUAGCAUCACAAACUUUAUGAUGGAGAUGAAAGAUGAUAUUGUUUGUUGGGCUUGAUGAGUAAUAGUGAGAGACUACUCUUAAAGCAAUUGGUAGAGGUUUGUUUUCAACUUUUCACUUUAGUUCAUUUUUUUUGUUGAAUACAUAAUAAUAUAAAGCACGAGAUAUUAGUUAACUAUGCAAUGUUGAUCAUACUUAUAAUAUUCAAUAAGUAAAUAUUUAUUUCAAAUAUAUAAUUUUAUAUUAAAGUUAUACGAAUUACUAAUAUAUUAUCUAAAUUUAGAAGUUUAAUUACACUAAAAAUUUUCUAAUAUAAUUUUAAGUUGGAUAAUCUUUGUGUUGAUCCCAUAUAAUAAAGAUUUUUGUUUUUACAAAUUGUCUUUUUUCUUUAUAACGUAUUUUUUUAAGGAUUGGACGUAAUCAAAUUGAAGACUUAGUACUUUACUUUACUUGACAAAAAAAAGAACUUUUAUUUAUGAACCUUUGCCAUUAUUUUAAAAAAAUAAUUUAUGCAUAAAAGUAAGUUUUUAAAGACACAAUGUUCUCUUUCUUUUACUAUCUAUUUUGCAUUCAACAAGAAGUAAACUGAGAUAGAUACAAAAUAUGUGUAUAUUCUAUCAUUCUUAUUGUUAUUGUUCUUUCUAAAUCAAAAUUCACAAACUUCACCAUCAUAAUAGUAAAAAAAUUAUUUUCAUAAAGAUUAAAAUAAUAACAGAGGGGGAGGGAGAUCUAACACUCAAGGUGAGUUUAUGAGAGUUAAAAGAACAUUAAAAAAGACAUACAUCAUUAAAAUACAUUAAGAAUGCAUAUCACAAGAGAAGACAUACAUUAAGAAUGGUUUGAGUUUGGUGUAUUUAUGUUUAGAUAUCGUUUUUACUUCUUUCAGGAACUAAAAAAAAUAAGAUUUAGCGACACCAAAAUACAUCAUUUGAUUUUUAUUAACGAGCUGACAAGACUUAGAAUAAGCAUUCAAAAAUUUGAUGCUGACAUGAAAAGCAAGCUUGAUACACAAUUCAUUUAAAAAGGAAGAAGUUUCAAGUAUUUUGGGUCUAUUAUCCAAGAAAAUAUGGAGACAAGACAUGACACAACUUUAAUUUCUGAGGACAUAUGGUUAGAAAAGAAGUUACGCAAGGUACAAAAUAUAUUAGGGUAGGAGGUUAGUUAGGUAAUUCAGAGUUAUCUCGCUUAUUCUUUUUAUUAUUAGUCACAUACUAUGAGUCGUAUUUCUCUUAUAGUUUCUUGUUCUUUGUGUUUAGUUUUUAAUUUUGGCUUUUACACUUUAAUUAUCAUGGUAUCCUAUUACGACUACUGUUUAGAAUAAUUUUACAGGUUAUCUAUGUUAUUUAUCAUGAUUGUCUUCUUUUCUGUUAUUUAUUCUUUAUACUACUUUGGCAUGUCUUUUGUUUGAGCCGAGUUUCUAUCAAAAAUAAUCUCUCUAUCUCUACAGUAGCGGUACAAUGUAUACUCUAUCCCCCAAUACUCUACUUUGUGAGAUUACAUUGGUUAUGUUAUUGUUGUUUGUAUAUUAUACUAUAAGUUAUUAAUUUGGAUAUCAAAACAUAUGUUAUCAUUAUUUUUACUAAUAAACACUUGAUACACGUAUAACACACGCACACUAAAUUAGUAUGUACAAGUGUACUUAAAGGAUUCCCGUGUACCUCAUAAAUAUCAUUUAUGGUUGCUAUGACCAACCCUCAUAUCAGCAAACAUGGAUUUUCAGUGUCGGUCCAUUGGACUCACACCUUCACGGUUAGCUAUUACACCCUGCCAUCAUGCCCAAUUAAAACCAUUACCACAUAACCAAACCAUCAUCUCCUUUAUUAUUAACCAAGGCUAUAAGUAGUGAUAUCGUCAUAUCGCCUAUAGCUUGCAAGCAAUGUCCUUAGACAAUAUUUUAAAGAAUAAGAGAUUCCCAUGUACCUAUAGUUUUGUCCCCUUUUAACUUGACAGAUUGAAAAAAAUUGGUUUCGACCUUUUAAACUAUUUCAAAACUUUAAAAUUUUUUUGAAACAAUCUAAGAAAUUACAGAGUCGCUACUUAAUUUAUUUGAAAAAAAUUAAGAAAACUUUUAAUGAAAGUCCUAAGUCUUAAAACAAAAAAAUACUUAGGCUUUUUAAGAAAAUCUUGGGUAAGAGGUUCUUAUUAACAUUUUAGGAAGGUUUUUAAGGCACCUAAAAUGUCUUCUAACUUGCGGUUAUCCAAACUAUUUAAAAAUAAUUCUUUGACUAACUUGGAGAAAAAAAAGUUGAUUUUUUUUUAAAAAGAAAUUGAUUAAGAAAAUAUUUUUUGAGAUUUAUGCAAAAAACAGCUUUUUGAUGACUUAGUGGGGAAUUUAACUAGUUCUAAGCAAGUUAAAGUCAAAUAGCACGUAAAGGAGAAAGGAAAAAAUUAGAAGACUUAGGCUCGUAAAUCCAAAUUCAUUGACCCUGUCCUAAUUUAAUUGGGCUUUGGUCCACUUGCACCUGUCCUAAACUAUUCAUUUGGGAUUUUAACCUAUCAUCACCUGUCCUAAUCUAAAUAGAAAAAAAUACAUAAAGUAGCAUACUUAAGUAUUAAAUUGCAAAAAAUAACUACACUUUUAUCAAAUUACAUUUUGUAGCAUAUGUAUUUGUAUGUAUUUGUAUUUUUGUAGCAACAGUUUGCAAAAAUAUAAAAUACAUAUCGAUCAUCAGGGCAGUAAAAAUCAUAUGUAUUUGUAUUUUUGUAGCAACAGUUUGCAAAAAUACAAAAUACAACUUGCUAUAUUAUGUAAUUAUGAAACUGUUGCUAUGAAACUCAUAAUUAAGGGGAUAAGUAUGCUAUUUUUGAAUUUUACCCAUCUAAAUAUUGAGCUAUUGACCCAUAACCUGUUCUAAACUAUAUUUUUGGACCCUUUGACCCAAAAUUUACUUCAUCUGUAUUAGUUUACAACUUUGGCUUCAAGGCCCAAAUGAACGAAUAGAUAAGUAACUAAAUAAAGAAAUGAAAUCUAAAAAACAAGACGAAUAAAAUCGAGACUUUAGAGUCUCUUAACAACUUAAUCAAUGGGUUUCGACCCGUUUCUUAUUCUCCCAUCUUCUCAUAUUCGUGCGCCAUGUAAUUCGACUUUGGACUUUCUUUCGAGCUUGACUUGAAAGAUGGGCCUUGUUGGCCCAUGAUGAAUAUGCAAAAGGGUAAGAGUCCAUGUAGAACUCAAAUGAUUUUCAUGCAAAGAAAGAAAAAUAAAUCACAUUAAUACAUAAUCGACAAAAGGAAGGGAGGAAAAACUAAAGUAGUUAAUACAUGAUCAACCAAAGAAGAAAGAAAAUAUGAAGAAAAUUAAUACAUGGUUAACUACAUAAACGAAGUAACAAGGAUCCUAACAAAUAGUCAAAAGCCGAUUGGACGUAAUAAGACAUAGUCAUAUAAAUUAAACAAAGGGCCAUAUACAAAAAGGUUGGAUCUUACAUUUCAGCUAAUCCAAUAUUUCUCAAUGGUAAAAAGCAUAUUCAAGAACAUAAAGGCAAAACAUGUAUCAUCUUCCUAACUAACUUGGAACAAUCAUUUAGAUAUGUGGAGAUAAGAUGAUAACAUACUUCAAUCUACUUGAAACAUCAUAGAAACUUAAUAUAUAUAUAAGAAACAACGUGUGUUGAUAAGGAGACUUAUAAAGGAAAGAACCACUUAGUUACUAUACAAGAUGACUAUGGCGAAGACAUAUCAGCUCACUGUUAGUAAUACUCUUACAAAAUCAAUACAUUAUCAAGAAAGGGACUCAAUUACCGAAGUAAUAUCAAAAACUUCAAGCAAUCAUGCUAUACUUCUAACAAAAUAGAUUAAAGAAGUAAAACAAUAGAUAUGAGUAGGAUUUUUAAUUUGUACGAAAAACAUAGUGUUAUACUAGAAGACUUCAAGUUAUAUCAAACAUAGCACAUCUGAAAAUGCGUCUUUUGACUUAAGAGUAAUGAGAAACCAGUUUGUACUAAAAAUUUAAGCACACUAGAUCCUUUUACCAUAUACGAAUUUCUAAAAAAUGACCACAAUUGUCAUGUCCUGUUUUUUUCCCAAAGAUUAAACAAGAACGACUUAUGGGCUCUAAAUGAAUUGAAGUUUUGUAUAGAGUCGUCACCUAAUUUUUAAGAAAAAUAAGAAAACCUAUUUAUUUAUUAACACGUGUGAAUAAUAUUUUAGUCUACGAAAAAUCAAUUGAGAUUGCGGGUAAGGGUUCAAAUUAUCCCGAAAGAAAGGGGUUAGGCACCCUUUAGGAUCCAUAAAUGUGGUAUCCAUCUAUACUAAAUUUAUCAAAAAGGGAGGAGGUAUAUUUAAAAUAAUGUAAAAAGGUAUAUGUGUAUUAAGUAUAAAUUAAUUCUUUUGAAAAAUAUAAAUACUUAAAUUAUGUAAAGCUGUAUGUAUAUUAAGUAUAUAAAUAACACCUAUUGUUAUGGAAACAUGUAAGAGAUAUGUAUAAAAUGUAUAAAUUACAUGUGAAAAAAGAAAAGUAUUUACAAAUAAUUUUUACUUGAUUGAAAUUAUAGAGAAAACAAGGAUUCCUUUGAGAAGAAAACUACACAAUAUUUAUAAGGUAAAUGUGUGAACUAAUUCAUUAACUUAAUUCUUUUAUAAAGUAUUAACGACCUAAACUUGCCUAAACGUAUAUUAAUGUAUAUGUAAAUAAAGAAUGUUACCACCCGACACCCCAAAAAGUAAAGUCUUUACUAUGUUUAAUGUAUACAAUUAUAAGAAAAAACAAUUAUAAAAUUCUCCCUAGAAUACCAUUUUUCGACAAGUAUUCCCAAAAACUUGUACAAAUGCAUUAGUGACAAAGCAAAAUAAAUUAAAAAGGCUAUGCGUACAUAUAUACAUAAAAAUAGAAAUUUUUUAUGAAAGCGUGGGCUCGGAUUAAGUUUUAUAUACAUCAUGGAUCCAAAGUGGUUGCUCGAUUAAUCGGCCGUCCUAAAUCGCCUUGCCAAGAUAUGAAUCGUAAAACCUUUUGUGUUGUCGUGAUGUUAUAAAGAUUUUGUCAUUGCCCGAAUUUAUUUAUUUUUGUCACGUAUUUGUAUACGUAAUAUCUGACUUUUAUGUAGGAAGGCCCCAAAAAUCGACGGAGAAUUUCUUCAUCGGCCAAGUUAUAGUAUUUUAUUUGUUGUUAAUUUAAAAAUAAAUAAAAAUACAGUUCAAAGAUGUAACAAGAUAGUGUAAAAUUAACCUUAGCAAAAUAACAAGUAAUGUACUAGGGGUGAACCAAAAAAUUAACAAAAAAUGAUUAUGAAAAAUAAUUCAGCAAAUGGCAGUAUGAACCAACAUCAACACAGAUAUCAAACAAGGCUUGCCAGAGACAACAUUUUUCGAUCAUAUGUCAACCAAAGUUGGCAACAAGAAUAACCCAAUAAAUCUAAAAAAGCAACAUAAAAUACUAACCAUAACCAAUAGAAACAUAAGAACACAUCUGCCAUUAAAUCUACAUAAUAUCAAAAUAUCAUAUCAAAGUCGAAGAGAUCGAGAACAUCACUUCCACGGUAAGGGAUACCGGAGCGACGCCGAAAAAAACAACAACCAACCAGAUCAGUAAAUCAUGAAAUAGUAAAGAGCAAAAAUGGGAUGAAGGGUAAAAAUAUGAUGGUGGCAGCCGAAAGCCUCGCCAAUCAUCACCUCCGGAAAAGCAGUGAUGGAAAAGUGAGGAAAUUGAGGGGACUGGCGAUGGUGUGAGGCGUUGUUUUCCAGAGCAGUGGAGACAGAGGGGCAACAACGGUGUGCUUGCUGGUGUUGGUUUCGUGACUACUGGAGGGAUCCGACGUGGUGCGACUGUUGUUUCUGGUGGUGGUCGGAGCUCAUCGAGGAGGAGGAGAAAGGGGUAGCGGGGAAGGUGUUGGUGGUGGUAUGGUUGUCAUCGUUGGUUGCCAGCCAUCCGGUGGCCAACUCCGGCGGCGUCUUGCAGUGAUGGUGACGUUGGUGUUGUCGUGCCCUGUUUCGAAUCGGUUGAAACAACACACAACAUGUGGUGGCUUUGUCGUGACUCUUGAGUUUUGAAAAUUAUUUUUAGAGUCGCCACCUAACUUUUUAGAAAAAUUAGAAAAAAAUUAUUUUUAUGUUAAAACUCUAUUUUGGUCUAUCGAAAACAUGUUGAGAUUCUGAGUAAGGGUUUUGGUUACUCGAGGGUAAGGUGUUACACACCCUUCAGAGCCUAUCCGAAGAUAGUCCUUACACUUAAUUUAGAAAAAAAAUAUUACUUCAUUAUUUGCUUAAAAUGGUGAUAAGAAAUCCUUGAUUACAUAUCUUAUUAUUAUUAUUUUUUAUAGAAGGAAAAGGAAACUCAAGGUACAGUAAACACGAUGCUAUCAUGUACAAGGAAAUAGUAUAAUUAUUGAGGAAAUAUACCUGUGUUAUAAACGUGAAAAAGGGUGAUGAUGUAAUUUACACAUAUAUGAGAAAAAUGUGAAGUCUUAUAAUUUGUAAGAAAAUUUAAAAUAUGCGAAGUUAAGUACAUAACUAAAAAUUAUUAUAGAGUAAACAAAAUAUUUUAUGGCAAGAAAAUUUGUUUAGAAAAUAUAUAUUUAAGAGUGUGUGAAAAAUAUGUGGAAGAUUGUGAAUGAAAUAAAAUUAUGUAAAAUAAUACGUAAGUUUAAUAGCAUGUGUAGGAACUGUUUAAACCAUAAUAAUAAUAAUAAUAAUAAUAAUAAUAAUAAUAAAGAACUUGGUUUUUGAAGUGUAUUGUUCUGAGGAAUUAAGAAACAUCUCUGAAGAAUUUUAUGAAAUGUGUGCAUUGCAUAAUCAAAUUAUUUACUUUGUGCCAUGGUUUAUGUCUGCAUAUUUGCCUUUGUAUGUUAAGGUUAUCGAAAGAUCUUAUCAAGAUUCAAAUGGUACUAUAACACAAGCUAUUUAUCCUCCUCAGUCACCUUUUAUAUUGCGGUCGAGAUCUUUCAGCAAAUAGAGAAGACUUCGUAUAUACCCUUAUGCUUACCAUUAUUCAACACUUUGGGGGUAGAUUUACUAACCAACAUGAAAACACUCGUACCCUCGUAAAUAGUCUAAGGUGUAGACAUUUGGGUGAAUUUAGAUGGUAUAAAGAUACUCUUCUUUCUAGGGUCAUGGAUCUUCCCGAAUCUAGACUUGAACAUUGGAAGACUAGAUUUAUAGAUGGUCUUCCACCACUUUUUGCUGAAAGAGUUAGAAAAGCCAUCAAGGGUCAAUAUGGUGCAAUCCCUUGGACAGAUUUCACUUAUGGACAACUUCUAGCAUCUUGUACUGAAGAAGGUCUAAAACGCUGUAAUGAAUUGAAACUCUCUAGAAAAACUAAGCUAGAUAGAAUUAGAGAAAAAAACCUAAUUAGGUGAUUUUUGUGUACAGUUUGUAUGGAAAAAGAUGGAUUAUCUGAAAGACAAUUGUCUAUUUUGGUUCAUCGUAUGUUAAUGUAUUCUACUAUUGCAAAAUUUUCUAGCCCUAAAGACGAUGCAGGUGCACAUAUUCAAGAGUGGACUCAAUAGAUCCCAUCAGAUACUGUCUAAAAUUUAAAUUUCUAGCAUCGCGUAAUGCAGCUAGAAAGGUCUCUGGGAGUCCCUUUAAAGUUAGGGGAUUAAAAGCAAUCUGUACCAAGCCAAUAUGCAUAAAAUUAUAAUGAUUUUUAAAUAUAUCAAUAUCAUGCUUAUUAAGCAGUUUAAUAGUUUGCUCAUCAACAUUUAAGGCCAUAGAUUAUUCAGUGGUCUUUAUUAUUUGUUUGUAUUUGAAUUUAUCAAGAAAUCCAUAUUCAUAAAUUGUAUUUAAUUUUACUCGAGGAAUCGUCCAUUUAUUUAAUAAGUCCAUAUUUUAAGGUAAAUCUACCUCUUAAGUUUAGUACCUUUUGUACUAACUUCUCCCAUAUCCAUGAUUACGAAACCUUCUACCAUAUGCUGAAAAACUUCACCUCACUUAUAGAAUUACUGUGAAAGUUCCUAGGCUCUGAUACCAUUAACAGGAUUUCACUAGGCUGGGGUAUGCCACUCAGCCUGCCAGACCUACUAAACAAUAUCGGAAUAAAGCUAGAGUCGGAAAAUUGAACCAAAGCACCAACCGAAAUACAAAAGAAUUCUAUAUAGUUUAAUGACUGCCUGGUAAUCUUUUACCCAAACAAGGGGUCUGUCAGAGAUUUAAUAUUCUUAUGUUGAACUUAUGUGUCUAGAAGUUCUAAGUGUGCAAAAAGUCUCCCUUUUCAUCAACUUUAUAGGGCUUAAAAAGGCACAGCUUACUAGACGUAGUCACUGAGACAAAGCCAACUUAAGACAUACUAAACUCGACUGACCCACCAUUUUGGAACCAAGUCAAAAAACUAUAGGGAAAUUCCUUCAUAUUUUGAUAGAGUCUGGAUCUUUCAUAUUUACUACGUAAAUGGAGUUAGAUUCUCAACAUAAGUAUAAGAAGUAUUUUUAGCUGAACAUAGUUAAGGCUGAAAGGGAAGAAGUUGUAUUAAAAGUAUACAAAGAAGAAAGUAUAAUAUGUACCUUAAUGGCCGGAAGCAAGGCCUGACAAUAUUAACAAACAGUGGCUAGUGCCUUCUUAUUUAUCUUCGGGAUACAUUUUACAAGAGGGAGAAUCUAGAGAGAGAAAAUGAAAGAGAGAAAAAAAAACUUCUACCACUUACAACUGAAUGAGGCAGCUUUAAAUAGGAAAAGAAAAACAUCUUGCACAGUGCUAGGUGGGUCCCUGUGCAUAGUAUUUUUACUAUUACAAAUAGUGAAAGCAUAAAAAACAAGCAUAGUAAAAGUUUUUAAUAAUUUAGCUGCUGGGUCCCGCUUGACCUACUUGGUCUUUGCCUUUUCAUUUUCAGAUAAAUGCUUCAGUUUUUUCAAUAACUUCAUCUGUUUCACCCAUAACUUCUGGAGGUUGGGACUUGUAAUAUCUUCAGUGUUUACUUCAUUACUUUUUAUUGAUGUAUCUGAAUUUUCUUCAACUGUUUGGAGUAAUUUAUUUCGUACUUCUGCUAAGUAUUUCUCGAUCAUCUUCAUUUUAUUUCCAUCGUGGGCUGAUAUUCUCCUGGAAACAUAAUUGAAACUUUUAUCUUCAACUAAAAUUGAUUUUUGAGGGGUCUGUUCAUAAUCAAUAAUUAUCUUGACGAUAUUUUCUCAUUGAUCAUGUCCAUAUGUGAGUUUGGUAUUUGGAUCAUCAUGAGUUAGCUUGUCCCAAAAAUUACAAUAAAAUACUCUGUAUAGAGCAGGAAUUUGUUAGCUAGUAUAACCUAUUUCAACUAACCAUCUAUGAAUCCAAGGGAUAGAAAAUUCUAUAUAGAAAUACAUUUGGUCAAUAGUAUCUAUUUUACAAAUAUGUUCAAAAAGGUAUAAUUCAGUCAAGAAAGGUGAGGGUUUUUUCAAUGUAUGAUAAAGAGAAGAAUAUUCUGGAGGUAAUAUUUUAACGGUAGGUCCGUGAUAGGUCCAUCAUUGCACAAAUCAAUUUUGAAUGGGCUUAUCAAAUACCUUGGCAUAAUUUUUUAUAAACCACGUGUGUUUGUGCUUAAUAUUAUUAUAAUAUAAAACUUGAGAAAAUGCCUUAAUAUAAUCCCAAUAUGUAAAAUUUAUCUGAGACUGUGCCAUUGGUACCAUAGGCAUAGAUUUUUGAGUCAUAGAUGAAAUCCCCCAUUCUUCAAUAGAAAUAAGCCUUUUAACAACCAUCUUGGAGUAUCCAUGUACACCUGGGGUAGUGUCUCCCAUUAUACUGUGAUCAAAAUCUGCACUGAAUGUUUGAACCAGAAUAUUUUCAUAAAAAGUUUGUGUUUUAUAUGAUUCUCCUGUGAAAUAAACAUUAGUGGUUAAGUAUUUUUGGAGUAAUCACUAUGCUUCUUCAGAAUUUUCAUGUCUAGGAAUAUGCGGAUUCUCAAUAAGAAGUAUGAGUUCUCUUGCAUCCAAUUUCUCAUAUGUGGGUUUAUUUUUGGAGUUUUCUUGGACUAUAGAUGCAAAUGAAUCUGUAGUUUUUUGCUGAUCGGAUAUAUAAGAUUGAAGUUGUUUGUACAAAGGAUGAUCGUCUGGAAUAUCUUCCAAGUGGAUUAAGGAACCAAUAUUCUAAGUUUUCGAUGAUGAUGAUCCUUCUUGGAGAAUUUUUGAAUUGACCAAAGUUCUAUUUCCUUGUUGUAAUACUAGAAAAUUAGAACUUGCAAAGCUAUAUGCAGAAUUAUUUCUAUUACCAAAAUAAGAAGGGUUUGUUCGUCCUCCGUAAUAUGAAGAGUUUUGACUUCGCCCACCUCUGCCACGUCCUCUGACUGUUUGCCAGGGUGGAUCCAUGCUACAUCAAUAAUCAGAAAUUUGAUUAGUAUACCAUAACAUAUAUUCGAAUAGAUCUUCAUAAAGUGUGUCCUUUGUGAUAAGAUUAACAAUGACCUUUUGUAAUAUAAGCAUGUGCAUAUCCGCAUUUAAAGGAGUUGCUUUUAUAAAAGUGAUUAAGAAUUUUUUAGAGAAGAACUGUAGAAAGAGCUUCAUUAUUCCUUUUAAUCCUGUAAAUAUUAAUCACUUAAGUCAAUAUCAAACCAAUAAAUAUCAUUAUCAAGAAAUUCAUCGUGAUUAAAGAAUAAUUCUUCUUCUAUUAUACCACAAACAAGUUUUUCUAAGAUAAGAAAAUGAAUAUCUUCAUUUAAAGGAAUUCAUUUGAUAACAGUAAUUAUGGUUUUUUCAGAGAGAAAGUACGUGUAAAAAUUCAUGUUAAUCGAUUAAAUAUUCUCUAGAUAGAAAAUCCGACAAAGAAUUUUCGCUACCCUUCUUAUAUUGAAUUUCAAAAUCAAAAGGGGCUAAUUGAGCUUGCGACAUUGCAAAGAUUAAUUUAGAGGAAUCAUGUUUAAAGUCUUUGUUGAACAUGUAUUUUACAGAUUGAGCAUCUUCCUAACUAUAAAUUUUUUAUCAUAUAAAUCAUCUUGGAAUUUUAAAACACAUUUUACAAUAGUAAGCAUUUCAUGAGCCACAGUAGCAUAUUUUUUCUGACUUUCAGACCAUUUACCAAAAUGAAAUCUAACUAAACAUCUAGUGUUUGUAUGGGGAUUAACUUGUUUAAGUAUUCCUCCAUAACCAAUAUUUGAAGCAUCAGUUUCAAUUAUUUUUAACCAAGAAGGAUUAGCUAAGGUUAAACACGGAAGAGUUUGAACUCAUUUUUUGAUUAUUUUAACCAAAUCAGUGUGAACUUGAGUCCAGGGUGUUUUAUUAUUCUUUUUCAGUCUAUCAUAUAAAUGAGCUAAAUCUCUGGAUAGAUUUUCAUAAAAAGGAGAGAUGUAAUUAAGACUACCAAGAAAUCUUUGUAACUGAGUUUUAUCAGUAAUUAUAUCCGGGAAUGUCUUAGCAAAGUCCAUAGCUCUUUGUAUGGGCUCAAUAGUACCUUGGCUAAUAUUAUGACCUAGAAAUCUAACAUUUGUUUGAAACAAGGACAUUUUUGGUUUAGAAACAACCAAACUAUUUUGUAAUACUAUUUGUUUGAACAUAUUAAGAUGUUUAAACUGUAAAUCAAGCGUUUUUGAGAAUACAAGAAUGUCAUCAAUGUAGACAAUUAUAAAAUCCAUAUAAGAAUUAAAUAUAUCAUUCAUAAUCUUCUGAGAUUCAGAAGGAGUAUUUUUCAAGCCAAAAGGCAUAACAUUCCAUUCAUAUUGUCCAAAAGGGACAUUAAAAACAGUUCUAUUAGUAUGAUUUUUAUCAAUUUGAAUUUUUCAAUAACCAGAUUUAAGGUCAAAUUUAGAAAAUAUGUUGGCAUCAUGUAGUCUAGCAAGCAAGUCUUUUUUAUUAGGUAUUGGGUACCUAAUCCAUUUUAAAACUUUAUUCAGGGGUUAUAAUAAUAAUAAUAAUAAUAACAAUAUUAAUAGGAUCUCACUAGGCUAGGGUAUACUGCUCAGCCUGCCAGACCUAUAUAACAAUACCGGGUUUAACCAUAGUCGAACAACUGAACCAAAAGCACCGAUCAAAAUACAAAAUUUUUUUUACAUAACUUGAUGACUGUAUGGAACCUUUUACCCAAACAAGGGGCCUGUCAAAGAUUCAACAAAUUUAUGUUAAACCCAUGUGUCUAGAAGUUCUAAUUGUGCAAAAAUUCAUUCUUUCUUCUUUAGUAUAAUGGGCUAAAGAGGCACAACUUACUAGACGUAAUCACUGAGACAAGGUCAACAUAAACUAUUAAACUCGACUGUACCACCAUUUUGGAACCAAGUAUGUUUGUGUUUGAUAAUGUUAUAAUAUAACGUUUGUGUGAAUGCCUUAAUAUAAUCCCAAUACAUAAAAGUUAUUUAUGAUUGUCCCAUUGGUCCCAUUGACAUAGUUUUUUGAGUCAUGGAGGUAAUUCCCCAUUCUUCUAUGGAAAUAAGCUUUUUGAUGAUCAUUUUGGAGUAUCCAUGUACUCCUGGGGUAGUUUCUCCCAUUACUGCCGGUUUGAACAAGAAUUGAUUCAUAAAAAGUUCUUGUUUUUUAUGAUUCUCCUGCAAAGUAGACAUUAGUGAGCAAGUAUUUUUGAAGUAAUUUCCAUGCUUCGUCAGGGCUGUCUUGAUUAGGUAUAUGAGAGUUUUCAAUAAGAAGUAUCAAUUCUCUGGCUUCGAGCUUUUCGUAUGUUGGCUUAUCUGCAGUAUUUUCUUGGAUUAUUGAAGCAAAUGAGUCUGCUUACUUAUCAAAAAUAUAAUAUUGAAUUUGUUUAUAUAAUAGAUGAUUCUCUAAAAUAUCUUCUAGAUGGAUCGAUGUGCCAAUAGGCUGAGUUUUCGAUGAUUCUACCAUAUUCAGAAUUUUUGCAUUAAUCAAAGUUUUGUUUCCCUGUUGUAAUACUGGGAAAUUCAAACUUUCUGAGCUAUAUGUUGAGUUAUUUCUGUUUCCAUAUGAAGGAUUCUAUCUUCCUCCAUAAUAAGAAGUAUAAUUUUGAUUUCAACCACCUCUUCCGCAUCCUCUGGCUAUUUGCCAGGGCGAAUCCAUUCUGUAAAAGACAUUAGUAUUGGUCAAAUGAUGAAUCAAAAUCAUCCCAGUCAAUUUUGUCUCGUCUAUCUUCAAGAUUAGGAAGAUUUAAAUUAUAUUCAAUUAUUUUACGGAUGAGUUUUUCUAAGAUAAAAAAAUGAAUAUCUUCAUUCAAAGGAAUACAUUUAAUAAUUGUGAUAACAGUUUUUUCAGAGAGAUAGUAAGUAUACAAAUUCAUUAGUUGUUGAAGUAUUCUUUGGAGAGAAAAUCGGGCAAACAAUUUUCACUUACCUUUUUAUAUUGUAUCUUAAAAUCAAAGGGGUCUAGAUGGGCCUUCCACCUGUUAAAUAUUAAUUUAGAAGCAUCAUGUUUAAAGUCUUUAUCAAACAUGUAUUUAACAGAUUGGGCAUCAGUUCUAACUAUAAAUCUUUGGUUAUAUGAAUCAUCUUGAAAUUUUAAAACACACUUAGCAAUAGUUAACAUUUGAUGGGCCACAAUGGCGUACUUUUUCUGACUUUCAGACCAUUUUCCCGAAUGGAAUCUAAUAAGACGUUCAGUUUUAUCCUAGGGAUUUACUUGUUUAAGUAUUCCACCAUAACCAAUAUUGGAUGCAUCGGUCUUGAUGAUUUUUAACCAAUCAGGGUUAGUUUGAACUCAUUUUUUAAUUAAUUUAACGAGAUCAGUGUGGACUUGAGUCCAAGGGUUUUUAUAAUCCUUCUUUAGCCUAUCAUAUAACGGGGCUAAAUCUCUAGACAGAUAUUUAUAAAAAUGAGAAAUAUAGUUAAGACUUCCAAGAAAUCUCUGCAACUGAGUUUUAUCAGUAAUAAUAUCAGAGAAUUUUUUAGCAAAGUUCAAAGUUCUUUGUAUGGGAUGAAUAGUGCCUUGCGAAUAUUAUGUCCUAGAAACCGGACAUUCGUCUGAAACAAGCUCAUUUUUGGCUUAGAAAUAACCAAACCAUUUUGUAAAACAAUUUGUUUGAACAUGUUUAGGUGUUUAAAAUGUGAUUCAAGCGUUUUUGAGAACACAAGAAUAUCAUCAAUGUAGACAAUUAUAAAAUCCAUAUAAGGAUUAAAUAUGUCAUUCAUAAUUUUUUUGAAAUUCAGAAGGAGCAUUUUUCAAAUCAAAUGGCAUAACAUAACAUUCAUAUUGUCCAAAAGGGACGUUAAAAGUAGUUCUAUAAGUAUGAUUUUUAUCAAUUUGAAUUUUUCAAUAACCAGAUUUAAGGUCAAAUUUAGAAAAUAUGUUGGCAUCAUAUAGUCUAGAAAGCAAGUCUUUUUUAUUAGGUAUUGGGUACCUAAUCCAUUUUAAAACUUUAUUCAGGGGUUUAUAAUUAAUGACUAGUCUAGGCAUACCACGUUCCUACUCAGCAACAUUAUUGACAUAGAAGGGAGUACAAGACCAAGGGGAUUUUGAGGAUUUUACAAGACCUUUUUGCAAAACACUAUCAAUCUUUUUUUUUUACAGAAUUCUACUAACUCUGUAUUCAUUUGGCAGGGUCAAGAUUUUAUGGGUAUUUUUUCUUCACUGAAAUCAUCUUCAUAAGGAAGAGAAACAAUAUGUUUCUUGCGAUCCCAGGAGGCAUUUGGGUGAUCAGCACAAAUAUCAAUAGUCAAUUGAUCAGAAAUCAUUUUUAUUUUUUCUUGGACUUUUACAUACUUCAUUGACUCAUGAAUAUUCAUACUCAUUAUUUCCAAUUGUAAGAAAUUUUCCUAUCGUUGCUUCAUACUAAUUAGAGCAUUUAUAUCUCUUGUUGCAGGAUCAGUAACAAAAGGAAAAGAAGUUUCUUUAUUUUUAUAAGUAACCUUAAAACUAGUCGCAUCGAUAUGCGUAUAAGGAUAAAUAACAUAUAUAACUGAUUUUUUUACCAAAAAAAUAAAAUGCGGAAUGCAAACCUUAUUUCGACAUAUAUGAGUACUAGGCAAUUUAUAGUUAAUAUCAAGUUUAUGACCAGAUGCAGACUUAAUUAUAUGGGUAAUUUUUUUAAAAUAUUUGGUUGGAAUUAAACCUUCUUGAAUGCAGCUGACAUCAACACCACUAUCAAUCAUAGCUAUAUUAGUGAUGGAAAAUUCGUUAUUAAUUAAUAUAGUGCAAUUUAUAUACCAUUUAUGAGCAGUAAUAAUUUGCACUAUCAUACCCAAGAAAUAAUCAUUCUUUGAAUCUAUUUUCUGAAUAAUAUUAUCCAUAUUUUGAGAAUUUUUAAAAUCCUUUUCUUUCCCUUUAGAAUUAGAAGAAGUAGUAUUUUCAGAAAUGUUAGAAAUAUCUUCUUCAAUUUUCAAAAUCCUAUGAUCUGAGACCAUCUGAUUUCGCUUUAAAGAGAUAAUUUCCUUCUUUAAAUUUUCAACUUCUGUUUUCAAAUCAUCAAAAUUUGUAUCUCUUCCUGGAGUUUGACUAAUAGCGAGUCUUCUAUUGACUUCGUAAAUAGAAUAAGGCAUGAUAUCAAUAUUAGAGUCAGUAUUUUUCUUGACAUAUUUACUAUUGGUAGGUUUAGUAUUACUAGAAUUGUUGGUUGAUGUAGAAGCAAGAUCAAUAAUGUUUUGACGAAGCUUCUCAUCAGUUACUUCUUUUAGUAAUUCUAAAGUGCUAUCAGCAAUAAUUGUGCAAACAUUUAACUCUAAAUCUUCAAUUUGAGAUUGAAGUUUAUAAAAUGCAUCAUCACAAUCACAAUUAUCAGCAUUACAAUCAGAACAACAUUAGUCGUAGGUUUUUCAUUAUCAGAAGAAUUAGGUAAAUCAAUAUCAUUUUUAGAUUAGAUUCAUAAUCGAAUUCAGAACCAGAAGUAUAUAAUAAACCAUAGACUUGGUCAUGCAUCUCAUCAGAGAGUGCUAAAGACUUGAGUUUUUGAAGUUUACCAUUGGGAGCUAUAUGACCAUAUUGGUUGCACCUAUAACACUUGAUUUUUGCUAGGUCUUUCUUAGACUUAUUUUUCGUAAAUCUAGUAGACUUACGAUUGAAUUUUUUAACUUCACGCUCAUCUUUGGAUCUACGUCUAGAUCUUUUUAUUCUAUAGAAUUUGUCAGGAUUAUCGUAUCCACGACCCUUUCUUCUAGUAAAAGAAGGAUUUUCCAUACGAAAUUGUCCAUAAAAAUCACCUAAUUGGGUUUUUUUCUCUAAUUCUAUCUAGCUUAAUUUGUCUAGAUAGUUUCAAUUCAUUACAGAAUUUUAGACCUUCUUCAGUACAAGAUGCUAGAAGUUGUCCAUAAGUGAAAUCUGUCCAAGAGAUUGCACCAUCUUGACCUUUGAUGGCUUUUCUAACUCUUUCAGCAAAAAGUGGUGGAAGACCAUCUACAAAUCUAGCCUUCCAAUGUUCAAGUCUAGAUUCGGGCAGAUCCAUGACCCUAGAAAGAAAAGUAUCUUUAUACCAUCUAAAUUCGUCCAAAUGUCUACACCUUAGACUAUUUAAGAGGGUACGAGUGUUUUCAUGUUGGUUAGUAAAUCUACCCCCAAAGUGUUGAAUUAUGAUAAGCAUAAGGGUAUAUACGGCAUCUUCUCUAUUUGCUGAAAGAUCUCUACCUAGGUUAUCUAUCCCAGGCAAGAGGUUUCUGGCUUCAUAAAUCUUAUUUCUUUCAUCAUUAGAAAGGAGAUUAUCCCACCAGCCCCGAAGUUGGCCAGUAAAACCUGCAAUAAUCAUUUUAUAUAUAGUAGCAUCUGUGCGAAUAUGUGCACCUGCAUCGUCUUUAGGGCUAGAAACUUUUGUAAUAGUAGAAUACAUUAACAUACGAUGAACCAAAAUAGAUAAUUGUCUUUCAGAUAAUCCAUCUAAAUUCCUUUCAUAAAUAUGUUCUCCACUAUACGAAGUGUUUGUGAGGGACUAAUCUCUUUCUUCAAUCAUAACAUCUUGAGGAGUUGGUCGUGGGUAAUAAGCAGUUUGCAUUCAAGGAAUAUCAACAUAUUUCUUCCCCGGCUGUUUUCAUACCAAACCUCUGAGUUUAUUCAACUCUGAGUGAAUUUCUACUCCUACCGAAGGGGUUUUGGUAUCAUCAAAAUUAUUAGUUAAGGAUUCUAUAGUAUCAACAAAAUUAUUAGACUAAUCAAUGGGUUUUAUAUUUAAACUAGAAAAUUUCUUUUCAAAUAAUUUUUCAAGUUGUUCUAGAUCAGAGGGUUUUCUAAAUCCUUCAAUGUCAAUGUUAGGAGGUCUUUGAAUACGAGGCUUAGCUGUCAAGUCUUCUGUCUUGCUUUUUGAUGUAGAUGCAAUAUUAGAAGACUUUUGACUAUCACUUAGCCCUUUGAUUAGAUCAGUCAUCACAUCAAGUUUUUUAUCAAGAGAGGAAAUAUGUUCUCCCAGAGCCUUUACAUAAAGACUCAGAUAGUUAGUUUGAGCGAUUAGACUAUUCAUUUCAGAAAUAGUGAUUUUUCCAACUUCAUUAUCAAUAAAUUGUUAAAAGGCAGAGAAGGUUAGACCUGUAUUAUUAGGCAAUAUAAAAGAUGAUUGAGUAGGAUAAAUAACUUGUGUUAUAGUACCAUUUGAAUCUUGAUAAGAUCUUUCAAUAACCUUGACAUACAAAGGCAAAUAUGUAGACAUAAACCAUGGCACAAAGUAAACAUUUUGACUAUGCAAUGCACACAUUUCAUAAAAUUCUUCAGAGAUGUUUUUUAAUUCAUCAGAACAAUAUACUUCAAAAAACCAAGUUCUAAAAGUUUUCCAUUUUGCAGAGAAGAAUUCCUUUUUAAUAUAAUUUCUUGCCUGUGUUCCAGGACUAAAAUCAAUUAGUUGUGUCAUCAUAAUUUAAACAGAGUUAAUAUCAAAUUCCAUUUCAGAUGGAGUAGGAUUUUCAUUAUCAAAAUCUUGAACUAUAUUAUUUUUAGGAUUUAUUUUAAUUUUUUCUACACUUCUAGGUGUAACAUGCGAUUCUGCAGAAUUUAUAGUAUGCAAAGAUGCAACAAUAUUCCUAGACAGACCAUAAACUGGUUUGACUGGGAAAAUAUAGGUCAUAGCAAGCAACAUCCUAGGAAUAGAAAAGGAAUUUCGAUUGUAAACAGUAGAAUUAUCAUCAAAUUAUAGACAAAUUCUCCCAUCAGUAUUUUGAUACAUGAGUUAACUCUUUAUUCGUCACAUCCUCUGCAAGUUGCUUUGGAGAAAUGACAGAAUUUAAAAUCCAAGUUUUUGGGAAAUUAAGUUCAUCCCACUUAAUAGGUCUUCUUGUAGUGACCCUGGAUUUUGUAAAAUUUAUUUCAAUUAGUAUGGUAUAAUCUGAAGCAUCAUCAACCAAUUUACAUAGGAUUCAUAGUGGAUAAUAAGCGAAAAUAAAUAUGAUAUGAUAAACAAAUAAGUUCAGAUCCUGAUCCAUAAUUGUAACCAUGGGUUUUUACAUUUAGAGCUAAAGCAUCAAGAAUAUUUACAUCAGUCAAAGAUAACUGUAGAUUUGGUUAAGUAUUAAAAUAUGCAGGGCCAGAUGCAAGAGUGGACUCAAUAGAUCCCAUCAGAGACUGUCUAAAAUUUAAAUUUCUAGCAUCGAGUUGGGUAGCUAGAAAGGUCUCUGGGAGUCCUUUUAAAGUUAGGUGCUUAAAAGCAAUCUGUACCAAGCCAAUAUGCAUAAAAUUAUAAUGAUUUUUAAAUAUAUCAAUAUCAUGUUUAUUAGGCAGUUUAAUAGUUUGUUCAUCAACAUUUAAGGCAAUAGAUUGUUUAGUGGUUUUUAUUAGUUAUUUGUAUUUGAAUUUAUCAAGAAAUCCAUAUUCAUAAAUAGUAUUUAAUUUUACUUGAGAAAUUGUCCAUUUAUUUAAUAAGUCCAUAUUUUGAGGUAAAUCUACCUCUUCAAGUUUAGUACCUUUCAUACUAACUUCUCCCAUAUCUAUGAUUAUGAAACCUUAUACCAUAUGCUAAAAAACUUCACCUCACUUACAAAAUUACUAUUAAAGUUCCUAGGCUCUGAUAAUAAUGGUGGUGGUGGUGGUGGUGGUGGUGGUGCAGAAGGUAACAAAUAUUAUAGGGGUAACCGCUAGUGAGAGUGCUGAGUUAUCUGCCUAUCAGUUGUAGGAUGUAGCUCAUACAUGGUUUAAGCAGUGGAAGACAGAUAGGGCAGCAGAUGCAGGGCCUAUAGAAUGGGAGGAGUUUGCUACUUUCUUCCCGUUGGAGUUGAAGGAAGCCAAGGUUUUAGAGUUCAUUAAUUUGAAGCAAGGCAACAUGACAAUGAAAGAGUAUUCUCUUAAGUUUACUCAGUUAGCCAGAUAUGCUCCUCAUGUGGCAGCGGAUAGCAGAUCUAAGAUGAGUAAGUUCAUGUCUGGUGUGUCUGACAGUGUGGUCAAAGAGUGUAGGACCACAAUACUAAUUAAGGAGAUAGACUUAGCUAGGUUAAUAGUCCAUGUUCAACAGAUAGAGAAGCAGAAGACUAAAGAGAAAGAGAGGGAGAGCAAGAGGGCUAGAACAGGUGGUUCAACUUCACUCAGCCUAAGUCAGAGGGUGGUAAUCGUUCUCAGUUUCACACAAAAUCUUUAGUUUCAACUCUGUCCUCAACCAGUGCUUCGGUGCCUAAAUUCAAAAAUGGUAAUAAGGAUAGGGUACCAGGCUCUAAAUCUCAAGGUAUUGUUAGCAGUACCCAAACAAAUCCUUUUUGCCAGAAGUAUGACAGAAACCAUCAGGGUGUCUGUAGAGCUGGCAGUGAUGUAUGUUUCGGAUAUGGCAAGCUAGGCCACAGGGUAAGAGAGUGUAUCCUCAGGUGGGCUCAUAGAGUCAGCAUAAUCGUCCCCCAGCUCAGUCCGGUUGCUCGUCUCAGUAGGGUUCCACUUCCAGUGCCACCAGUGGGCAAUGCCCAAAUAGGCUUUAUGCACCUCAGUCCUAAUAGGAUUAGGAAAGUUCUCUUGAUGUGAUCACUGGUACAUUACAAGUUUAUUAUUUACAUGUUUAUGCUUUGCUAGAUCCAGAAGCUUCUUUGUCCUUUGUAACUCCUUAUAUAGCUGUUGACUUUGGAGUUAAUCCUGAAUUCCUAGAAGAGCCCUUCUCAGUCUCUACCCCAGUAGAUAAAUCUAUCAUAGGUUGGUAAGUAUACAGGAACUGUAUGGUUAUGGUAUCUCUGAAAGUUACUUCAGCAGACUUAGUAGAGUUAGAGAUAACAGAUUUUGAUGUCAUUCUCGGCAUAGAUUGGAUUCAUUCAUGCUAUGCUUCAGUUUGACUAUAGAAAUAGAGUUGUCUAUUUUCAAUUCUCGAAUGAACCUGUCCUAGAAUGGAGGGGUAGUAAUUCAACGCUUAAGGGUCAACUUAUUUCCUACCUUAGAGAGAGGAAAAUGAUAUCUAAGGGGUGUGUCUAUCAUCUCGUUCGAGUUAAAGACUCUAGUUCUGAGACCCUUAAUCUGGAGUCAAUUUCAGUAGCAUGUGAAUUUCCAGAUGUGUUCCCCGAAGAUCUUCCCAGAGUUUCUCCCAAAAGGGGAAUUAACUUUGGAAUAGACCUUCUUUUAGAUACUCAGCCUAUCUCUAUUCCACCAUACAGAAUGGCUCCAGCAAAACUCAGAAAGUUAAAAAAUAGUUGAAGGAUCUCCUAGAUAAAGGAUUCAUCAAGCCCUGUUUUUCCCUGUAGGGCACCCAGUUCUAUUCGUGCAUAAGAAAGACGUUCUCUCAGAAUGUGUAUUGACUACCAUUUGUUGAACAAAGUCACAGUCAAGAAUAAGUAUCCACUUCCCAGAAUCGAUGACUUGUUUGACCAACUUCAGGGUGCCAAUUAUUUUUUUAAUAUAUACUCAGGUCAGGCUAUUAUCAACUUAGAGUUAGAGAAUGUGACAUUUCGAAACCAGCUUUUAAAACUCGGUAUGGUUACUUCAAAUUUCUAGUCAUGUCAUUUGGUCUUACCAAUGCUCUAGCAACUUUCAUGGACUUAAUGAACCGAGUGUUCAAGCAAUACUUGGACAUAUUCAUCAUAGUCUUUAUGAUGACAUUCUGGUCUACUCUCGCAGUGAAAAUGAUUAUGCAGACCAUCUCAGAAUAGUAUUACAGACUCUCAGAGCCCAUCAAUUAUUCACAAAAUUCAGUAAAUGCAAAUUUUAGCUAAGGUCAGUAGCUUUCCUUGGUCAUAUAGUUUCCAAUGAUGGCAUUAGAGUUGAUCCUCAAAAAACUAAAGCAGUGAGAAACUGGUCUAGACCUAUCUCUCCGUCAGAUAUCAAGAGUUUCUCGGGUUUGGCUGGCUAUUAUCGAUAGUUUGUUGAAGGAUUUUUGUCUAUUGUAUCCCCCAUGUCCAGAUUGACUCAUAAGAAAGUCAAGUUCCAGUGGUCAUAUUUUUAUGAGAAGAGUUUUAAAGAGUUGAAGAUUCGACUCACUACAACCCCAAUUUUGACUUUACCAGAUGGUUCAAAUGAAUUUAUUCUGUAUUGUGAUGCUUCCAGAGUUGGUCUGGGGUGUGUUUUGAUGCAGAAGGGUAAGGUAGUGGCCUAUACCUCUAGAUAGCUUAAGCCCCACAAAAAGAAUUACCCCACCCAUGAUCUUGAGUUAGCAGCUGUUGUGUUUGCCUUAAAGAUUUGGAGGCACUAUUUGUAUGGGGUUCCAUUUUAUGUGUUCAUAGACAACAAAAACCUACAGUAUGUAUUUUCGCAGAAAGAUUUGAACUAGCGUCAGAGAAGGUGGUUGGAGUUGUUUAAAGAUUAUGACAUGAGUGUUUUGUAUCACCUGGGCAAGGCCAAUGUAGUAAUUGAUGCUCUCAGCAGGUUGCCCAUUGGUAGUGUUUCUUACUUUGAGUAUGUUUAGAAUAAGUUAGUUCAGGAAGUUCACCAGCUUGCCAGGCUAGGUGUCCAUUUGGUUGAUUCGGCAGAAGGUAGUGUUUGGGUGCAGAAUGGUUUGGAAUCAUCUUUGGUUUUUGAAGUAAAAGAAAAAUAGGACAAAAGUACCAGUUUAGUUAAGUUGAAAGAGUUAGUCAGAGAUCAAAAAGUAAAGAUUUUCUCCCAAGAGGAAGAUGGUGUGUUGCAUUGUCAGGCUAGGUUAUGUGUUCCAUUUGUAGAUGGCGUGAGGCAGCGAAUUUUUGUAGAAGCGCGUGGUACGUGUUACUUGAUUCACACAGGGGCCACUAAGAUGUACCACAAUUUGCGAGAAGUCUAUUGGUGGAGUGAGAUGAAGAAACACAUUGCAGAGUUUGCGGCUUAGUACUAUACAUGCCAGCAGGUAAAGAUUAAGCACCAAAAGCCUAGUGGUUCUAUGCAGGAGUUCAGUAUCCCCACAUGGAAGUGGAAGAAAGUGAAACAUAGAUUUUGUGAUGGGCUUACCUCAUACUCGUUAUCAGCAUGAUUCGAUUUGGGUCAUCGUAGACAGGAUGACCAAAUCAGCCUAUUUUUUGCCAGUUCAUACCUCAUAUUCAACUAAGGACUAUCCCAGGAUCUAUAUCAAAGAUUUGUUCAAGUUGUACGAUGUCCCGUUGUCCAUCAUUUUGGAUAGAGCUACGCAGUUCACCACUUGCUUUUGGAACGCCUUCCAAAAGGGUCUUUGUACCUAAGUUUACCUCAGUACAGCUUUCCACCCUCAGACAGAUGGUUAUGCAGAAAGAAACAUUCAAACCUUAGAAGAUAUGUUGAGAGUGUGUAUCAUUGACUUUAUGGGUAGCUGGGAUGACCAAUUACCUUUGAUUGAGUUUGCGUAUAACAACAGCUAUUACUCUAGUAUUCAGAUGGCUGUAUUUGAGGUGCUUGGUUUGAGGUAGGCGAGACUGAUUUAGCAGGGCCUAACCUAGUAUUCAAUACCUUAGAAAAGGUUCAGCUGAUCAGGGAGAGGAUUAAGACAGCUCAGAGCCGAUAGAAAUCGUUUGCUAAUAUGAGAAGAAAGGAUCUCGAGUUUGAGGUUGGUGAUUAUGUGUAUUUGAAAAUCUCUCCCAUGAAGGGAGUGAAGAGAUUUGGCAAGAAGGGGAAGCUUAGUCCCUGAUAUUUUGGUCCUUAUAGGAUUCUCAAUGGCCUCGGCAAGGUAGCUUAUGAGCUUGAGUUACCUGCAGACUUAGCAUCAGUGCACCCAGUAUUUCAUGUCUCCUUGCUAAAGAAGUGCAUAGGUGACCCAGCAGUUAUAAUCCCUAUAGAGAGUAUAGAUGUUCAGAAUAGUCUCUCUUAUAAGAAAAUCCUAGUCAAAAUCCUUAAUCAUUAGAUUCGCAGACUAAGGAACAAAGAAGUUCCUUUGGUCAAAGUUCUUUGGCGGAAUCAGUCCGUUGAGGGGGCUACUUGGGAAGUAAAAGCAGAUAUGCAAACCAAGUAUCCUCACCUCUUCUCCGCAAACUCUAACUCAGCCUAAGGUAACGAUCUUCCUUAGAUUUACUCUAUCACAUGCUUAGUUAUAGAUGCAUAACAUUCUCAUAUCAUUCAUGCAUUCAUGAAAUAGUUCAGUCAUGUAUCAAGUUUUCAGAAUUUAAUCAUGCUUCAGUUAUGCAUGUCAGUGUAAGUACAGUUCAAUAGUUCCUCUUAGUUCAGCCAGUCUUAUUCGAGGACGAAUAUUCCCAAGGGGGAGAUAUUGUAAUACCCCAUAAAAUCCAAGUCAUUUCAGUCCUAACAACAUUACAAAAGAGGUCCCAGACUUAGAAAAAAUUCAGCUAAGUAUUGACACUUAAUCUCAUUUUUGGCCUUGAUAUUUCAAUGACUUUAUUUUUUAUCUUUCCGGCCUUGGAUUAUCAAUUUUUAAAUUAAUUUAUAAUCGGGGAUGUCAAUAGGUUAUGUUGGUGAGUUUCAGAAUUUUUGGACUUCGUUUAAGUCAUGUUUGGAUGCCCAAAAUAGUGCAUCAACGUGAUCAGGCCGCGAUGCAUCAAUAAUCGCGUCGGCAAGCACGUCGACACCAUUGAAGCGAUGCGUCAAGUAUCAUAUUGAUGGGAAAUUUCUGUGUAUUAAAAUCUAACUUUUCAAGGGCAAUUAGGUUCUUUUUCCCUCACCCAAUUCAGCUAAAACACGAGAUUAAACCCCAAAAAGGGCAAAAUUUAUUCUUUAUUCUCAAAAUCCUCACAUGAACAAACCCUGGUCCAUCAAAUUCAAGAUCAAGUUCCAAGAAAUUAUCUAGAGUCUAUAAUAAAUCAACAAUCAGGUUAUGUUAGGUGUUCAUCCUUGGGUUCCUUCCACCCUUGGAGUUCAAUAACCUUUUUUAAAACUACAAGUUUAUUGAUUUAUGAUUUACAUGUGCAAAUUGGGUUGUAUUCAUGUUUGUGUUGUUGUAUGAGUUUCAAUUCAAGAUUUUGUUAUGAGUUUCAUGAACAUAAGAUAGCAUGUAUGUUGAUGAAUGUAAUUCCCAUGUUACAAUCAUUGGAAUUGAAAGUUUAAGUUGUAGUCAUGAUGCUUAUGUGUUGUUCAUUAUUAUGUAUAACAAUCAUGCUCCCCAAGUGUUUGAUAGAAUGUCCAUGUGAAUUGAAUAGUGUAAUCAUGACAUGUUAGCAUGUGUUCUCAUUCAUGUAUGAGUUCAUGGCCUUCAAGUGUUUGGCAAAUUGCCCCAGUGAAUGAAUUAUGAACAAUUGACUAUUGCUAUACUUUCAAGAAUUACUAUGUUUUACCAUUUAUGCUAUCGAAUUCUGGGGGUAUUUAUUACCUAAAAUAUAGUUGUUUACUUAGUUGCAGUAGAUAUAGAAUAGUCUCAGUAAAGGUCAAGAACAGUAGUAUUUAAUAAGUUAACAGAACUCAGCGAACUCAGUCCAGUUCAGUUAGUCAACACGAUCAGUAAUAGUUCAGUCAAGCCUAGUACAGUCUAGUGAUUAGUUCAGUGUCUAUUCAAUUGGGAGUAGGAUUCAACACCGAGCGAACCCAGGGAUAGGGGCAUUCUUUCCAACAGAGGAUUUGACCCUUAGUAGCAGUCCUUAUAUUACAGAACUACAUUGCCAGCUUAGGGUAAGUCAUCCUCCUACCAAAUUAGGGUUGAUGCGAUCAUAUAUAUACAUUUCAUGAGUCUUCCUACCAGACUAGGUUUGACACAACAUUGUUAGUAUCCCUUGGCAAGGUGUUAACACUCUUCCAACGGGGUCACACGUUGGACCCCAACUCAUUCUAUAACUAGGGUAUGUCAGUUAGAUGAAUACUUUCAUAGUUACAGUUUUAGUAUUCAGUACUCAGUAAUUAGUAUUCAGUCUUAGAAUUUAGUAAAGAAGGUUGACAGUUCUACAGAAUCAUGGCUAUCAGUUAUUAGUUACUUAGCCAUUAAAAUUUAGUUCUUCUAUAUUAUUCUAAGCAUUUAGUUAUCAUUAUUCAGUUACCAGAACACAUUACAUCAGUGUCGAUCUAAUCCAAAUAGAUAUUAUGCAUAGCAUUGCAUAUUCAGCAUGUUCAGUAGUUACAGUUUUGCAUGUACUCUCAUCUAGUUACUUCAUGAUGUUCAUUCAGUUAGUUAUCAUCUAACGCAUAUGAACCCAUGUAUAUCAACCUACCUCCCUUAGAAUACUAGUACAUUCUGCGUACUGAUGCAUACUUUUUCAUUGCGCUAUGAUGUCUCAUAUCAUAGGUUCAGACGUACGGGUUCCCGACCAUACUUAACAGCUCAGGAUAUUAGCUGCAGAUUUAGUAGUGAGUCCUCAUCCAUCGAGGGUACUAUUUUACUUCAGUAUAUCAGUGUUUCAGUUAGGUCAGUAGUCGGAGUUAUUUGGGGACUUAUCCCAUCAACUCCUAGUCAGACAGUUAGAGGUUUUGGGACUAGACUAUUUCAGAUAGAUAUUCAGUAGUUUUUUAGUAUUAUUAUUAGUAUCCAGUUAUUAUUUUAGUAUUUUGAGAACCCUAUGGCAUUAAUAGUUAUACUUCUGCAUAUAUUUUUAGAAUUAUUAUUCAGUGCUCACAACAGGUACCAGUCAUGGGUUAGCUUGUGAUCCCUUGGGGUUGUAAGCACCGUGUGACGUCCAGGGUGUAGAAUUUGGCGUUACACCUACAUAUCUCAAAUUUUAUGAGAAGUCAGGUCAUUUGUAGUUCGAAACAAGCAAAAUUUGAUAAAUAUCAAAAUUUUCCCCAGUGUAGAAUUAUGGUGACAUUGGUUCCUUCGAGAAUAAUAACAAAAAGUUUAGCACAAACGGAAUGGAAACUGGUGCACUUAACCCUGAAUUAGUUUUUUGAGAUGGCUGGGAAUGAGGAGACAUUGGAUAGUAAUAUCUACUGAGGAUCUUAAGAGAAAAGGGGAUUGUGGGUUUUCAACUACUGCCCCAAUGUCUCAUUAAGACGACACUAGACUAUGACACUAAGGAAAAAAGAGAUGACUGACCCGAGUUGAGUUGAGUUUCUUUGUUGAAAUCCUUGACGUAGCUAGGAAUGCUUGACAUUCUGCUAGAUUGCCCCAGUUUACUACUAAGAGAGUUAUUCCAUGUUGUACCGCAUGUUUCUAUAAAAUAGGUAAAAGAGGGUGAAAAGUACCUGUUGUUCAAAAAUUUUAAAUUAAAAUUGUAAUAUAAAGAGUAGAGUUAGAUAUUCAAACUAGUAUUAUGAUCUCCAUUUGUGAAGGCCUCCGACUGACGGGGCAAUAACUGAUAUAUAAAUAGCCUCCGCCAGCUGAGCAGGUGCUUGAAAGUAAAUGCCUCCGACUGGCGGGGCAGUUUCUCAAAAAUAAAAGCCUCUGAUUGGUGGGGCGAUUGCUUGAUAGUAAGAGACUCCGUCGGCUGAGCAGUUGUUGUAAAAUCAAAGCCAUCUGACUUGUGAGCUGUUGAGCCAUACGACUGGCGAGAAACUGGAAAAUAAUCCAUCCGACUAGCGUGUAGUUAAUGAAAAAAUAAAUACCAUCCGAUUGGAGGGUAGUUGUUGAGAAGUAAGUGUCAUCCGACUGGCGAGCAGUGUUUGAAAAGUAAAGCCUCCGAUGGCGAGGUAAUUGCCUAAAAGUAGCCACCUUUUACUAAUAAGGCGACCUUCGGUCUGAACUAUAUGGUGGUAUUGCUGUUGGAAUUUGAUGCCACUGCCAUAGUGGCUUUUUUGCUGCUUACUAUGGUGUGAGUCUCUGAUUGGUAGACUGUGCUCGGUCUGCAGAAAUGUGAUUCUCUAAUAUGGCAGAGCGUUUGUUUGCUUAUGUACAUUUUUUGAUUUAUAGUAGGGUGUCCCCCUUGCUGGUGCAUGCUUCCAUUAUAGUGGAGAUUCGUAUUGCUUAUUUACAUUCUCCAAUAUGGCAGAGGGUCGCUUUGCUUGCAUUUAUACAGUCUUUGAAAUGUGGAACUCGACUUUGUUUGCUUAUGUACAAUCUUUGGAACAAGGAAGCUUGACUUUGUUGAAGUCAGACGACAUUCUUUGAUUGGUGGAGUUACUUGAUGCAUUUAGGCGAUGAUUCUUUGAUUGGGAAAGUAAUUUUAUGCAGUCAGGUGGUUAGCUUCGAUUGGUGGAGCUUAUUGGAAGAAUUGAAAUAGCCUAACUUUUCUAUAAGGGCCCUCUUUCUUCAUUGCCUCUAACACGAGUCUUUAAUGUACCUGUAAGGAUUCAAAUGAAAUGUUUAGGGCUUGUGAGGAUAAAGGUAUUCAAAAAAUGAAGUAGGGGAAGAGUAUUUUGGCUGAUGUUGCUGUGAUAAGUUGCAUGAUGUCCCUGAUUCUAUCCCAAAGCUUGACUUGAUGUCAUCUUCCAAUUCCUAUUUUCCUGCGCUCAAAGAAAAUUCUUAGUUGGGAGGGGGUGUUGAUUUGUGUCGACUUAGGAAUCCCAACUUUGUCCACGGAAUACUCCAACACUCCCUCGGCUGCUUGAUCAUUCCCCAAAUCUAGAGUCUCGGUAGGUGGGAAAGUAGGAAAGUAUUUUGAAAUAUAUAUAUGUUUUCGCAAAGGUAUUAUGUAUAUAUUAAGUAUGUAUAGUAAUCCUUUAUCGUUUUUAGAUUAUGACAUGUUCCAAAAUUUGUUAAGCCUCCGCUCAUCAAUUACGAUUCUCGUAGCUUUGUCCCUUGGGUGGAACUCCUCUGACUUUACCGAUGCUAUGGCCGUUCUGGCAGCAAGAUCGCUUAUAUUCUGGGGCUAUACUAUGAGCGAAGGGUUUUUUUCUAAAGGUAAGACCGAACCUUUAAGGUUGCCUACGUAAGCUCGAGAUAGUAAUCAGGUUUGUACGUAGUUCGAGGGUAAAGAAAAAUACAUGAAAUGCAGUGACCGAGUCUGACUCAGACUGCCUAGGUAUCCAAGUGGAAUCAGGUCAUGACGUAGUUCAAACACAACGAAAAAAGUGAAAAUAUGGAAUGCAAUGACCGAGCCUGACUCAGGCUUCUUACGUAUCCAAACGGAAUUAGGUCAUAACAUAGUUCAAUACAGGAGGAAAAGUAAAAUAAUGCAGUGACCGGUCCUGACUCAAGCUUCCUACGUAUCCAUGUGGAAUCAGGGCAAGCCGUAGUUCAGUACAAUAAAAGAGUAAAAUAUGAAGGGACCAAAUCCCCCUGAGACCUGAAAGUACUAGAAAAGGCCAUUCGCCCUCUCGAGUGAUGUACUUCCCUUGGCGAAGAUAUCUGAUGGACCAUUGGACGUUGUCAUCUCUUAAUUCCCCAAAAACCUUAAACAAAAAUUUUGGAGAUGCCUUCCUCUUAAACUUAUGCAGCAAUAACCACAUGUCAUACGAUGAUAGGAGAUCUACCCUCGUCUGAGGGUCUGGCUGCUCCUUUCUAGGAUUCUUCACUAAGUGUGUCAUCAUCCACCAUUGUAAGAUCAGGUUGCAACCCUGAAUGAAACAAUGCUCGAUUUUACACUUUUCCAAAGCCCGAUAUAUUUUAGCUACGAUCAUGGGAGCUAAGGUGUGAAAUACCUUUUUGGAACCAUAUUUCAUUCCAUAGAAGAGCAUUUACGUCACUAUAAUGACUCUUGGAUGAAUGGUGCCAUUUUAUCCUUGUGAGAACACUGUAGUUCCGAGUAGACCUACUGCAAACGCAAAUGCUCUUUUCUCCUUCCAUUUUGUCUCUGAUUCAAAUUUAUGUCCGAACUUCUUAAAAUCAUUGUAUCGUCCAAACCAGUGAUACAACUCAGGAAAAGAUAUUUUUGCCCCGUCACAUUCCCCCAACCAAGUAUCAUCAUUGAUUGAAAAGGCAUCCUUAAUCUCUUGACGGCUCCAUACAAUAGGACCUAGAACGCUUUUAUCAGGUUUACUUCUUCUCUUGACACACAUAUCAAUGCUCUCAUAACAAGCCAUUACCUUUUCAAUAGUGGGGGUCAAUUCAACGUCCCCAAAGCGAAACAUCAUAUUGCUAUCAACCCAAAAUGUCGUUAGCACAUGGAUCAUUUCAAGCCAAUCAUCCAUCUCUAUGAGCGAAGGCAGGUGCCCGAUAUGUGUACUAAUAAUCUUUUUUAUCUUCUCUGCUCAUAUGAUCCCAUCUUGCUUUCAGGAAGUUAUCAGGUCUGUAACCAUCUUGAAUCUUUCGUAGGGGUAUGGUUGGGCCAUUCCUACACUAAAGCAAACAAAGAUAUGCCUUCCCCCUACCCCGAAGAAUAUUGGAUUAGAUUCAACAAAAAUAUAUUUCUUCAACAUAUAAACAUGGUUCAUCUGUAAAUGACUCGAGGUCAAUAGAUGCAGGAAAAUUUUUCUAGUGGUCCCAUCGAGUAUUGGGUUGUCCUAGGCUCAUGCCUAAAAGAGGGUUUUUAUUUUGCUCUAUCCUAGGUGUCUAGAGUGGGUUUGAACCAGGUUCCCAAGCGGACAACUUGAAUUUGAAAAUACGAACAGCCAUCGUAUGCCUCACAUGCGGAUAAACCGUCGUAUUUUCAAUACUUUAUGUGGAAUUGAACAACAAGGGUCGGGACAUCCAUGAAACACCAAACAAUAUUUCAAAUGGGAAGUAUGCUAUGAAAUGCAAUAGUUUAAUUUUGCAGAAUUUAAACACAUAAGCACAUAAAAGUUUAAACAUUACAACAGUUAGUCAAAAGGAUCGAAUUCAAAUAUUUGGUUAGAACCUAGUUAGAAUCCCCAACAGAGUUCCAAUUUCUAUUUUGUCCCUUUAUAACUAGGAGGGAUGAAAAACAUUGGUUUUGUCCUUUUAAACUAUUUCAAAACUUUAAAAAAAAUUAAAACAAUCUAAGAAAUUACAGAGUCGCCACUUAAUUUAUUUAAAAAAAAAUUAAGAAAACUUUUAAAGAAAGUCCUAAGUCUUAAAACAGAAAAAGACAUAGGCUUUUUAAGAAAAUCCUAGGUAAGAGGUUCUUAUUAACAUUUUAGGAAGAUUUUUAAGGCACCUAAAAUGUCCGCUAACUUGCGGUUAUCCAAACUAUUUAAAAGGGAUUCUUUGACUAACUUAGAGAAAAAAAGUUGAUUGUUUUAGAAAAAGAAAUUGAUAAAGAAAAUAUUUUUUGAGGUUUAUGCAAAAAAAUAGCUUUUUGACAACUUAGUAAGGUAUUUAACUAGUUCUAAGCAAGCUAAAGUCAAAUAGCACGAAAAGGGGAAAGGGGAGAAUGAGAAGACUUAGGCUCGUAAGCCCAAAUCCAUCGAUCUUGUCCUAAUUUAAUUGGGCUUUGGCCCACCUGCACCUAUCCUAAUCUAUUCAUUUGGGCUUUCGGCCCGUCAUCACCUAUCUUAAUCUAAAUAUUGGGUUUUUGGCCCAUAACCUCUCCUAAACUAUAUUUUUGGACCAUUUGGCCCAAAAUUUGCUUCACUUAUAUUAGUUUACAACUUUGGCUUUGAGGCCCAAAUGAACAAAGAGAUAAGUAACUAAAUAAAUAAAUAAAUGAAAUCUGGAAAACAAAAUGAAUAAAAUUGAUACUUUAGAGUCUCUUAGCAACUUUGUCAAUAGGUUUCGACCUAUUUCUUCUUCUCCCAGCUUUUUGUAUCCAUGCGCGAUGUAAUUUGACUUUGGAAUUUCUUUCGCUCUUGACUCGAAAGAUGGGCCUCAUUGGCCCAUGAGGAGUAUGCAAAAGGAUAAGAGUCCAUGUAGGACUUAAAUGAUUUCCAUGUAAAGAAAGAAAAAUAAAGCACAUUAAAACAUAAUCGACAAAAGGAAGGGAGGGAGGAAGGGUAAAAGAAGUCAACACAUGAUCAACCAAAGUGGAAAAACUAAAGUAGUUAAUACAUGAUCAACCAAACAAGGAAAUAAAAUAUAUAAAAAAAAUUAAUACAUGGUUAACUACAUAAACAAAGUAACAGGGAUCCCAACAAAUAGUCAAAAGCCCCUUGGACGUAAUAAGACAUAUUCAUAUCAAUUAAACAAAGAAGGAACAUAUGCAAAAAGGUUGGAUCUUACAUUUUAGCUCAUCCAAUAUUUCUCCAAAAUGGUAAAAAGCAGAUUCAAGAACAUAAAGGCAAAGCAUGUACAAUCUUUCUAACUAACUUGGAACAAUCAUUUAGAUAUAUGGAGAUAAGAUGAUAACACACUUUAAUCAAAAUGAAACAUCAUAGAGACUUAAUAUAUAUAUAUAUAUAUAUAUAUAUAUAAGCAACAACGUGUGUCGAUAAAGCAAAUGAUUUUCAUGCAACGAAAGAAAAAUAAAUCACAUUAAUACAUAAUCGACAAAAGGAAGGGAGGAAAAACUAAAGUAGUUAAUACAUGAUCAACCAAAGAAGAAAGAAAAUAUGAAGAAAAUUAAUACAUGGUUAACUACAUAAACGAAGUAACAAGGAUCCUAACAAAUAGUCAAAAGCCGAUUGGACGUAAUAAGACAUAGUCAUAUAAAUUAAACAAAGGGCCAUAUACAAAAAGGUUGGAUCUUACAUUUCAGCUAAUCCAAUAUUUCUCAAUGGUAAAAAGCAUAUUCAAGAACAUAAAGGCAAAACAUGUAUCAUCUUCCUAACUAACUUGGAACAAUCAUUUAGAUAUGUGGAGAUAAGAUGAUAACAUACUUCAAUCUACUUGAAACAUCAUAGAAACUUAAUAUAUAUAUAAGAAACAACGUGUGUUGAUAAGGAGACUUAUAAAGGAAAGAACCACUUAGUUACUAUACAAGAUGACUAUGGCGAAGACAUAUCAGCUAACUGUUAGUAAUACUCUUACAACAUCAGCACAUUAUCGAGAAAGGGACUCAAUAUACCGAAUUAAUAUCGAACACUUCAAGCAAUCAUGUUAUACUUCUAACUAAACAGAUUAAAGAAGUAAAACACUAGACAUGAGUAGGAUUUUAAUUUGUAAGGAAAACAUAGUGUUAUACUAGGCAAAGACUUCAAGUUACAUCAAACAUAGCACAUCUGAAAAAUGCGACUUUUGACUUACAGUAAUGAGAAACCAGUUUGUACUAAAAAUUUAAGCACAUUAGGACCUUUUACCACAUACGAAUUCCUAAAAAACGACCACAAUAACAAGAAAAAAGACAAAAAACCAAAGUAGGGGAAACUAAAAAUUUUACAAAACUGAAUAGCCCGAGGGAAAUUACAUAUCUACUACAUUCAAACAUGUUUAGACGAUUUUACAUAACAAAAUAGUGUUGGUUAAGUGAAAAAAAUGCAUAAAACACAGGAUUUUGGGUCGUUUAGGGCCUAUUCUAUCCUUUUCUCCACAAGUCAUUAAACUGAAACAUCAAAAUAUCCUAGAGUAAUUCUAAGUUCAUUUCUCCCAUUUGACAUUUAGAGACGAAGAAUGUUUAGAAAACAGUUGCUAUCAACCCAAAGACAACAAAGAAACUAGAAUGUUGAUUAAAUGUAAAGAAACUAUUCUAAGCUACAACCAUUAAAGUCAGGUUUACAGACGAACAAAUAAAAUAAAAGAAAUUCAAGAUAAAAAGAGACAACCAAACUUAAAGCUAUGACAAUGCUCGACUAAAGCAAAACAGGCAGAUAUUAGAUUAAAAGAAGAAAAUGUGUCAAAUUUAGAGAUGACUAUCAUGCUAAAAAUAAAAGACAAUGACCACAGAUUUUAUGCCAAAGAAAACAUCAUCUAAAGCAAAAAGUGAACUUAAAGACUAACUAGAAGUCGUCAAAUCGAGAACGAAAGGAACAUCAUCUCAAACAACAAUCGCAAUCCCUUCACGAUACCCUACGACUCUCAAGGUCUCUACAGUAAACAAUUCCCAGCAUACAAUACACUAAUCAAAACUACUAUGACUACAACUAUUACAACACGACAAUACGAGAAAAGAAGAAUCGAAGACUAACCAUUUCUUGGGCAGCAAAAUGAGACCUCCAUCUUUAUCGAAGUCCGCCACCACCUAAACACGUCGCCAUCAACUCGAGAACUUCGAUUAGAUAUCGAAUUUCAAGAAAAAAAAUUUUACUAGCAGAAUGGACUACUUUUGCUCAAGAUUUUUUUCCCACCCUCAAGGCUUACCAUUUCAACUCAAGAAUGAGCUAUUUAUAGCAAACAAAAUGGGGCAAUUUUUUGAUCUCCCACCGAUAUGGGAGCAAAAAAUUGGGGGUAAUUUUGGAAUUCUCAAUAGAAAUUUUUGAAUUUUGAAAUAGGAUAAGAGAUGAGCUAUAUGAAAUCGUACGGAUGCUGAGAUGGAUUUGAUUUCGUACGUUAUUGUUGAAGUUGUUUGUACGAGUUUGCUGACUGGAAUAGGAUCGGGUCAUCGGGGUUUUUUGGAGUUGUUGACAUUGUUGGGUUACUGUUGCUCAGCUAUUUGUCGUUUCUGCUGAAAUUGUUGUGAUGUUGAUAGCGGUUGGACGCUAUGGGAUUCGCAGGUUAGUAAUUUUGUUUGGUUGUUGUUGUCGCGUAUUAUUGUUGUACUGUUGUUGCGAGUGUUCUGAAGUUGAAGAAGAAAAAGAACGGGUUGGGUCUUGGAUAUUUAGGCUGCUAGUUCGGCUGAUUGGAGUGGGAUGUUAGAGUGUUGUUGAGCCUGGUUGGGUCAGCCGUGGCAUAGUUAAAUUGGUAGAUUUAGGUGAGUUUUGGGGUUAUUUAAAAAAUAAUCCCAAUUAAAUUAGGAGUUAGCUAAAUUUAUUUAAUUUUUGGUUAAAUUGGUAAUCAAUUGGUCAAUUGCAUUGUAAUUGGGGUUAAUUUGAUUUCAAUUAUGACCAAAU